GAAGAGGAAGUGGAUAAUAUGAUGGACAGGAUUCAAGUAAUAAUGAAAGGUGUUAGAUUAAAUGGUUUGUUUGUCACUAUAUGACAAAUGAAGAAGAUUUAUUUUGUCACAUUCAUUAUAUAACCAUCCUGAGGAAUGAGAAUAUUAAAAAGAAUGAUAUGCAAUGUUCUAGAAAGCAUUGGUAACUUAAAAGUAAACAACUCAUUUAAAUUCAAGUCUAUGCUUGUGAUCAAUUGUAGACAUUCAUCAUGGUUAAAGGCCUAAAUGAGUUGUUCCUAAGCAAAGAAAUUUUAGUGCAUUUUUUAAUUUUGUGGUCAGUUAUAUGAAGUUCUCUUUUACAUAGCUGAAAAUUAUCUAUUCUAUUUGGCAUAUGACAAAUAAUUGAGGCUGAAGGUUCAAAGUUGGUUUUGAGUCAUAUCUUUGUUCGAUUGCUAUGAAUUAGAUCAUAGAUAAGCUAUAAAUAAGAUGUCAGCUCUACUAGCUAUAGAAUAUUAUAGUAAACUGAUCAUUCCUUGAUAUGGUUUAUAUUAAUAGGCUUUCCAUGCUCAUGUAAGUCUAAAUACAAUUACAAUCCAUAAAAAUUAUUUUAUCUUUAACACUAUUCAUAUCAUGUCUUUAAUAGUUCUCAGAUAUAUAUAUUUCAUUUCAUGCAAAUUUUCAAUGACGUGAUAAUUUAGUCUGAAGUUUCAGGGAAAAAAAAAAUGAGUUUACUUAUCAUACUCAUGUCAAGCUCUCACUUCAUAAUUUAAAAAAUUAAAUAUCCUUGUACUUAGAUUUUCAUUGGCUGAUUUGAAAAGUAUGCCAUAGAUUUGAAUGAUCAAGAUGUUGCAUUACUCUAUUUUCUAAUAAGUAUAGCAUUUGGACUACCUUGAAUGAAAUCACUUUGAAUUAAAAGUAAACAUCAUUUUUCUAACCAAAAUGAGGGAUUUUUUAAGAAAAAUAAUGUUUUCUUUAAUUUAAAUUCAGAAUUCGGAAAUUCUGGACACAUAAAACCAAUGGGCUGAUGUAUAUACACGUUUUCUUAAUUAUCAUAUUUAAAAAUAUUAUUUAACGUCAAUUUAAAAGUACCUGAAAAUUUUGACACAUACAUAAGUCAAAGGUAUUCAAAUGAUAUCUAUUCUUUUUAUCAAUGCACAUCAUAUCAUCAUCUAUUCCCUUUUCAUAAUUAUAUUAUUGACCGAUUAAUCAUACUUUGUUUCUAAUAAGCUUUCAUUCAUUUCUUAAUUUUCUUUUUAAGUUUUCAUUUAUGCUGACUAUAGAUUUACUUUUGGAUAGUAGUAUAAAGAUCCAAAUUUCAUUAUUUUUAAACUGAUCCAACUUUUUAUGCAUGCCCACGUUGAGUUCUUAACCUAAUACCUUUGAUGCACAUUUUAGGUAGAUUUCAAAUGUGAACUCACUCAAGAUACUUUCCUUUGUGAGAAUUUAGUUCUGUGUUGGGUCAAUAGAUAUAUGCUUAACCAAAAUUCUUUGGUAGAUUGUGUGAAUGACAUUAUAUACUAGAUAACACUCAAUCUUAUAUGACAAACAAGGUAAAAUAUAUAUAAUAGUAAUGCAUAUUUAUGUUAAAUGCAUAUAUUUGAGUAAGAUACAUUUACAUGUGUUGAAAUACUAUGGGGAAAAUUCAUGAUAACCUUAAAUUUUGGAUGAUUGAUACUCAUGCCUUUAUUUUGAUCUUCUUACUCAAUGAGCUAAUCUAGUCAUCAAAGGUUUUACCCUUGAAAUGUAUUCUUAAUUACCAGGAGUAUGUUCAAGAAGUUAAAUUUUGAAAUGAAAAGGUAAUUUUUUUGAUAAAUUUCUUAGGGUUAGGUUGAAGCAUAGUUGAUUAAAGUUUACUUAAUAAUCAAGAUUUCAACUCUCUCAAUCACAUUAUCCUCAUAAAAGGAAACUUGUGGCAACAAUUUAAAAGAGUCAACAAGCUCAUAUGUCAGCCAUUAAAGCCACAUAGUUAGGUCAACUAAAAAACUAAGUCCACAAAAAAUGAAAAUGAAUAACUAAAUGCUACAUUUGAACCCUUCCUUUACAUGAUAAAAUAUUUUAGGUAAUUUUUUGGAGAGAACUAAGGUAACACAACCAUGACCUCUUUGGCAUGAAUAAAGGAUGAGAUGAGGGGAGAAAGUGAUCUUCUUUUGGUUGGUAAAAAUCAUCUCAUUCCAAGAGGGACACCCUACUCUUCACCAAUGUGACAUAGAGGAGUGCAAGGACUUUCCUUCCAGCUUUUCUAUUGUUCUAGAUUUCUUAAGUUUAAAAUUUCUUGUUUUCUAAUUUUCAUAGUUUCUGUUUUUUAUUUAUGUAUGUUCCUACACCUUUGUGUGAGGACAAUUGCAUUAGAUUUCUUUACGUUUCCUCUCUUAUUUCAUUGUAAUUUCUUAAGUUUUGAUUUCCUUUAUUGCUUACACCUAUUCUACAAGGUGAUCCACACAAUACGAUUAAACCUAGUUCUCUUAUAAAUCAUCUAAUUCAGUGUUUAGAUUUCAUUCAGUUAUGUCUCAUCCAUUAUAGAAAUUUUCUAAUAGGAGAUCAGUUAAUCGAUAAACAUUUUCUUUCUCUUUGUCACUUUGCUUCUUUAGUUUCUCCAAAAUUUUUCUUUAGGAGUCUAUGGAUCAAUAGGAGUUAGAGGUGAUAUAGAGUUAUGAACCUAUGUCAAAGAAAGAAAACAAAAGGAGAGGAGAGAGAGAAUAGGGGAGGAAAUUGUGAAGAGAGAGAACUAGCUCCACUAUUGAUUUCUACUGCCAGAAUAGAAAACAAACAAUGUAUCUCUAGAAGUUAUAUAAAAUCUAAUGUGAAAAUAGGAAGAUCAGGAUUCAAAAAUGAGAUUUGAAUUGAUUUUUAAAAAAUUAUUAAUAAAAUAAAAUUAAAGCAUAUUAAGAAUUAAAAAUAUCCCUUUGACACUAUGAAUGAGGUAGAAGAACAAAUUCUAAAUCCAAGACGAAUCAGUUAAAUUUUGUUGCAUAAAUGAGUUCGUAAAUGAAAAAUGAAAUUAAUCCAAAACUUGAAAACAUCAAGAAUCAAACAAAAAAGAGAUAAAACAUAGAAUUUUCCUCUUUUGACGUUGAAGAUGGAGGGAUGACACAUUCAAACAAAAUAAUGAAUAAAAGCCCCAGAAAUUAGUCACUUUUCAAUUCAUCUACUUUCCACCUAAAUAAAUUGAGGGAAAAUUUUCAGAAAUUUAAAUAAACCAUAUUUAAAUAAAAAAAAUGACAAGAAAGAUUGACAAAGGGUUAGAAGGAUACUGGCAAUUGUCACCCAAUAAAAGGAAUUAAAGAUCCUAUUUCCACCCUAAAUCAAACUUUUUUAUAGUCAAAUUAUAUAUAACAUUGAUUAUGGGUGAUAAAACUGUUAGAAAUAUGUUGACCUACUAUGAGAAUCCAAAUUCAAUGACUUUUCCUUUUUCUCUAGUUGUACCUUCAGUUGUUUCUCCCUCAUUGGGUCAUUUUAAUGUAAUUUAUUAAAUAAAAUAAAUAGUUUUCUUAAUAGGCUUCUUUAAUAGGUUUCAAAAUGCCCAUAGAAAUAAACACUUAUUUGAAAAAUAUUCUUAAAAUUCACUAAAGAUUAGAAAAAAAUAUUUUCAUCUAAAAUAAUGAAAUCUAAUGAUUAAAUUCAGACUUUUAAACCCUAAUUAUGAUAUAUUUAAGAGGGAAAAUGUCAACUAUAUUAAUGUACAAUCAAAGAAUAUUUAUAAUCAAGGAAUAUUCAAAGUGUAAAUAAACCUUAAAGGUAUUCAAAACUAUAUAUUAAGUCUGUAUUUUUUGCAAUGGAUCUAUGACGUGUUGCACAUGAUUUCCCAUUAAAUUUAUGUCAUUUAUAAAGAAUUAAUGCAUAAAAUAUAAUAAUUAUGUAUUAUUUAUGAAAUAGAAAUGAUAACUUAUCAAGAAAAUCAGAAUAUUAAUUAGAGAUUAAGGGAGAUCAAAUAGAAAUGAAAAUUUGGUAAAAGGAAAAUUCAUUUACUUUCUAUGUUUAGUAUUCAGUUGUUUAACUUACAAUAAGUGUUGAGAAAAAAAUAAGCAUACAUUUUUCUCUUUCAUCAUGGUAGAGAUGACCUGAAUCUACUCAAUUUCCUAUUUAAAAAAUCUUUGAAAUUUAGUUAUGAACCCCGGAAUUCACAAAUAUCAGAAUGAUGCCCCUCAGAAUGAUGCCCCUCAAAUUUUCAUUCCUUAUGUAGAUCUUUGUUUUUGUCACAUUCUUCUUCUAAGGUUGCUCCACAUCAUUAUUAACAAAAAUAUCUUAGAACCCUAACACAAUCAAAUCUACUUCUAUUCUAGAAAAUCUGAUUUAGGUAAAUCUUCAAUCGUUUGGAAUGAUCUCUACAUGAUUUAAUUCUACAACAACCAUUGUUCAUUUAUGAUAAACUCAAUAAGUUUUUGAGUGUUUUGAAUGUCUUCAAAAAGUUCAUUUGGAUAUAAGAAGUAAAUCUAAAUGGUCUCAAGUAAUUGAAUAUUUCCUUUCCUUUGAGUAACCCCAUUGAAUUUCUUUUGGAGUAGGUACACUCAUUACCUAGUUUAUUAUAACAUGUAUUAACUACUUAUACCCAAAGAUAUUUGGGUAGAUUAUGACCAGAAAGUAUAAUUUUAGGCAUGUCUAUCAUGGUCUGAUUUUUCAUUUCAACUACUUCAUUUUGCUGAGUUUAUGUGCAAGAAGGUUCAAAUGAAACAUUUUUCUCAUCACAAAAUUAAUGAACUUAAAAUUUUAAAAUUCUUGUCUAUGGUCACUUUUGGUUUUGUCAAUUGGGGACUCCUUUUCUUUUUCAAUAUUCUAGAGUUUAAUCUUUAUUACUAUAAAGUAUACCCAUAAGAAUCUAGAGUAACUAUCUCGUACUACUAAAUCAUACCUUUCCACAAGUCUUGGGACUUCCAAUGAUCCAAAUAUGGCUAUAAGGGUGUAGAAGUAGAAAUAAAAUCCUUGGUUUUAAAAGUUUUUUUUUACACACUUUCCUUAGAUGGAUGAUUCACAAAUCAAAUUCUUCUUUAAUGUGAAACUGGGAUAAUCCUCAAAUUGAAUAAAAUUUCAUAUUUUUUUGUAAAGUGGAUAUACUUACAUGUCCUACACAUGUAAUUCAAAAAUACACCAUUCAAAGAGAGUAGUAGAUAAUUUUGACUUAUUUAAAAGUUCAGCAUUGCACGUAAUAAAGUUUUGCUGUCUCUUGAGACUUCCCCUUCACUUGUAAGCUAAAGCAACGUUAGUAGAUUUGAGGGGCAUCAUUCUGAUAUUUGUGAAUUCAGGGGUUGCACAAAUUAUUCUUUGCGGAGUCAAAUGAUUGAAUAUCAUUAACUUCGGAAUUUCAAGGAUUAAUCUCAUCUUUUCUCUAGUUUCUAUGACAUGAUGAUGUAAACUCAAGUUAUACAUCUCAAUAUAAUAAUCAAGAAAAUCAGCUAAAAUAUGUGACGAUAAAAAAAAGUCUAGAACCUGAGAAUACGUAAGACCACAGUUUCCAAGAGUCUACCACUGGAUUACUUAAGAUCAUAUUCCAAGGUCAAAAAAAUUCUAAAAAGAUGAUUAAGAGAGGAAAUACUUGCCUAACAAUAGAAAGCUUAACACUAUUGUAGGCAUAAACUGCAAAGUGUGGAUAUGAAAAGUUAUUCCAAAUAUAUCUGACUCGAAUAAAUUAUCCCAAGAAUUUUAAGCAUAGAAGUAAUACAACUAACCAAAGGAGAGGGCGUUGUGUAUGCUUGACAUUGUAGGCCUAUUAGUGUGGGUAUGGAGCCCACGACUCGGUCACAUAGGCAUGUUUACAAGGGUAUACAUCCAAGUCUUUUGCCGGUGGGCAUGAGCAGAGGGGUGCAGGCGUGGCCAAGCAUGGGUGGAUGGUGAUGGGCACAGCUACGAGUGGAAGGGGAGACGAGGUUGUGUUCAGGCAGCAAGCUGAUGCGGCGGAGACGCAGGCGGAUGGGCCCGGAGGGACAGGGAACUUGUGAGCAAAUGGCCCUAUUGAGGGGAUGAACAGGAGAAUAAACGCUGAAUGAGGAAAAGAGCACGGCAGAGGAGGAAGGCAGGGAGUGGAGGAGGGGGAGAGGGAACAGGAUGAGAAAGAUGGGAGGAGAUCGGAGCCUCUCAACCCAAGUGCGGGCAUCUCACUCAAGCUCUCUUGGAGAGCCGACAGCUGAAACAAAUCUCUAGAGAAAGAAUCUUAUUUAUUCUAUAUUUGCCCCUAAAUGAAGGAUUACGACUUUAAAUGGUGUACACAGGGAUGUCUAGGAAACUAAAUAAGCUAAGGACGGCUGCCAAUUAUUGAAGAAAAAAGUAUGAAAAUCCUGUUUAAAUAAAAAAUAAAUGAUGGGUCGGGUGAUAAGGCUUCUAUGGUAGAUUCAUCAAUUAAUUCCCUUGUGAACACAAGCCAAGACUUUUUAAAGCAUUCCGGAGGGAAGCAGAAGGCUCCAUCUCUCCUUCUUCAUCAUCGUCAACGCCACUGGCUUCUUUUCUCUUCAUCGUCAACGCCAUUGAUGCACGCGUUUGAAUCACAAGAAUGGAGAGGGUUAAUCUCACUGAACUGCGAUUGACCUUCGAACAAGAUAUCUCUUAAGAUCUCCAUAAGUCAUAUCUAUAGCAGAAUUAGAUUCUACGUAUUCACAAAGCAAUCUGAGAUUGACAAAACGCAAAAUCAAGGUGGUCCGCCAAUACAACUGAAAGGAUCCAAAGAGGCAGCUCCAGGGUCCUCAAAAUACUAUUCUCUUUUCGGUAAAUUGACGGCAUGAAGCUGAAGAGAAUGAUCUGAUCAUACGAAGAAAUCUCAUAGAUAUCCACUGAGCACAAUUUCCUUCCAGGAGGGGACAAAACCGAAUCAUUUCCUGACUUUCCCAGAGGCAGGAUAAAUAAUCUAAUCUCCAUGAGCAGUGCACUUCAUGCAACGGCUUACAGGGCAUAAGAAGUGGAGGUACUCACCAAGUGAACCUGCUGUGGAUCUAGAGAGAGCAUGCCAAAUGCUUACAGAUCAAAGUUGAUUCUGACCAGAUCUUCUGAACAGAUCCUGCUUGCUGUUAAAUGGCCCCGGUGAAAAUUAAAAAAUAACAAUUUGGGGGAAAUAUUUUGGAGCUAGUGACGGUUCCCAAAUGUUUAUUAAAGCAUCAUUAAUAAACGAUCAAUCUGCCAACAUAAUCAAUCUUUAUGAUGGUAAGCUAAUUUUUCUACGACAUGCUAUUUUAGUGUGUAUUAGAGCAGACAUAAAGAGGGCAACACACGUUGAAAGGAAAUACCACGAGCUGGCAAAACUGAAAGGGAAUUCAAAGCCCAGUGACGGUCUUAACAACUAGAAUUUAAUGUCCAAGCGGAUAUCUACCGGCACCAAAGGCAUCCAUGAAAAUAAAACUCACAACAAUGCAAUUUAAAAGGUAUCCUCUGUUGCUGUUGUGGCAAGAAAGUAGAAGCAGGGCAAACAAGCAGAAGAAGAUCACCCACCCUAGUUAUCCGUUUCAGGAGCAUGGCCUAAUCAUAAAGAGACGCCUAGAAGACUGCCAGAAGAUUUUAGCUCUACCACCCAGGUGGAGGAGUACCGGAUUCUGGGGCAGGAUUUCUUCACGGGGUGUGGCUCUCGAGCGCCUGAAUGCAGGCCUGCAGCAGCUCGUUCUUAAGCUUGCAAUUCUCGAAGAAGAUCUUCAUACUUGCAGAGCAGUGGGCUUUCCAGCUCUUCUCCAGCUUCGCCGCCUCCGAAGGCUUGAGCAGUUGAAAGCCCUUCGUUAUAGAACCCCCCGCGUAAUACCCAGUUUCCUUCUCCAGCUGAGAAACAGCGUCUCUCAGAUACGGGUGGGGUAAACUGGCCCCGGCUUCUUCCUCCGUCGCUCCCACGCCAGUGUAUUCGUUGCCCAUCGCUGUGACAGGAGGGGCAACCUGCUCAGCUGUCCAGAUCUUCUGGGACAGCUCGAACAUAGCCCGAUCGUGCGGCUUGAUGACUCCGGGGGGGUUGCUUCUCAUCUUAGAGACGGUGGCCUCGAAUUUCUGCUUCAGCCGCCGGAUUUUCUCGUAUACUUGACUUCGGCUGAACUCCAUGUGCAGGGUCACGCGGAUGUGCCUGUGGAUGAGGUCGAUGGACGAGGACGGCUCGACGCCGUACUCCUCCUGGCAGUCGAUGAGAGCCUGUAGCAACUUCAUCUCGUCCUCUUCGGACCAAACACGCUCGAAGGCCCCCUUCUUGUGGGCAGAAUUCAGAAAGGCCUCUUUCCCAGAGGGCUCCCGGUCAUUCUGCCUGCGGCGCUUCAUACUCUCCUCCUCCGGGGUUUCGAUCUCGACCUCCUUGUUCUUCCGUUUGCUCCCGCUCUUCUUCUUCUUACCUUCCCCAUCGGCGGCAUCGGGAUCGCUUUGAUUUUCCGUCUUUUUCUCCUCGACAGGGGGAGCAUCGGAACCCUUCGAAUUCUCCAGCUUCUCCCCACCCGGGACUUUGGCAAUAUUCGCAAUCUUGAUCUUCUCGCCUAAAGAAGCUCCCUCAGGAUCACUCGGCAGUUCCUCCGACUCUGCUCCCAAGGGGGAAGCUUCCGGACCUCUCUGCAGCUUCCUAGGCUUCCUCUUCCCUGGGGAGGCCGCAGGAGGCGUCUUCCUGGACUUUUUCGUGGCGUCGGUCACCAUGGUCCUCGUGGGCUGCGACGGGCGAGGGAGGGCUGACGAGGAGGAAGGUAUCACGCCGCGGUUGGCGUGAAAAGAUGAACUCCGCCGGGGGCUGCGGAGGGACGCGCAAUCCCGCCUAGAUUGGCCUCACCACACAGAACGGCACUUCGCGAUUGGAGGCUCUGCAGUUACCUAGCUAGCCAGCGCAACGCAGCGCCGAGAGGCCGGAAAUCCGAUCGCGGAGGCCUUGCCCGUGCCGGCGGAGACGGCGCGGCACAGAAGAGAAAAGGGGAAUCAGACGCGUGCGGCGCGAGGGCAGCGACGUUCGGCACGGCCAGCCUGCCCCGCUCACAAGGCGUGAACUCCGUGCGCGGGUUCCCUGGGCGGCUUGCCGGUCCGCAAACGCCGAAGGACACACGGCUUGCGCGGGCUCGGCGCAUGGCGGGGCUGCCUAUCGCGAAUGGUGCCGCCGUGUGCGCGAUCUGGGGCGGUCGCUCCCCAAUCGGCACAUGCGUGUCUGACGGCUGCCAGCCCACGCCAACUUGUGUGGGCGCCGCACGCCUCUCGCCAUAUCGCCUCAGCGGCGGCACGCGGCACGCGGCACGCGGCACGCAUUUGACGAGACAGACGCUCGUGCCGCGGCCGGCACGGAGCCUCGCCCAGAACAAGCGUGCUCUCGUGUACAACGGGCGAGAGAGAGGACAGCCUUCCGACGGAAAAAUUAAACCCCGUGGCCGUUGUGGGUUAAUCCUUCCAAUGCAGAGGGAUGCACAUCGCUCUUGCUAUGAUACGCCAAACUGGAGGCACAAGCCAGCACCUUUACUUGGAUCUUUAGGGGGGUUGACUAUUCAUCCGGUUCUCAUCUCCUGACAAAUUGAGAGCAAUGAUCGACGAAGCAAUCAUACCUUGUUCUCCGGUCAAAGCCCGCAUUUCUUAAUCAAAAUGUCGAUGAGAUUCCCCCAGAUGGUCCCAAAUAACCAGAUAUAAAAGCUUUUCGCUAUAAUCGUAAUCAUAGAUUCCUGACCGGAGCCGGAAAAUACCCAAAUCAUCGUGGGUUCAACCCCAUUUCGCCUGGGUUUUUGGUUCACAUGGUUCUCAAUUGCAACAUGCAAGAGGACCAGGCGGUGGCUCUCGACCACUCGCAAAAAUUCGUUAAUCCGUAUCGACAAGCAGUAGGCUUUCAUGACUGGUUAUUAAAACGACUCCUGCGAGUUGAGUGGAGCGCCGCGCAGCUCAGGGGGGAAAGGUGCUAAUCCUCGAUUCAGGAUUUUCAUGGCGCGGUAGAACUAGACGACCCCAGAUCUUCAUUCUCGGAAAGACGCGAACUUGGUUUCGGAUUCUGGGGAGCCCGGAUACCCUUCUCCAUUGGACCCAGGCUCUUCCCUCUUCUCGCGGCUUCCUCCUGGGGCUCCGUCCAUCGUCCUCGCUCUGGCUGUCACGGGGUACGCUAGGGGUGCGACACUGGCAUCUCGAGUCCCAGAGGCGGUCGAGGAGACGCAGUAGACGUUGAAAGAGGAAGCGAGGUUGCGGGGGAACGCGAUGGUGGCGGCGUCGGGCAGCAACGCGUAUGCCAAGGAGAUGGCCAUCCGGAGAAGGAUCGCGAACAUGUUAGCCUCUCUCUCGCUCACUCUCCUCCCGGCGUCCACCGCCCUCCGCUGGCCCUUUUCGUUGAGAAGUUUGUCGGAAGUUGUUCAAGGUGAUCGUGAACACUUCGGUUCCUGAACAUCUGUCGGGGGCCUUUUUCCUCUCGUAAAAAUCCUAAUUUCUUCAGACUCUUGAGGUAUUACGGGGCAAUCUUCUCCUUGUUCUUGCAAAAUCGUCGACUAGAAUGGGGAUGAACAUGCUCUUGAGGUGACUCGAUCUUCGCAGACUACAAUUCAAUCCAUUCUGGUGAUCAACCAGUAGUGGACCAAAUACCAUUUUCCUGACCCAUCCGUAAGCUGUCGCAUUUGUAUUAGCUCGUUAUGAGUUUUUGCAUUUUAUGAUCGCCUAAACUCAGAACGAAAAAUCUGAAACGCCAUGACUUUUGAUACCUUGGUCUCCACACGUAGUUCACCUUUAGAUUGUUCUUCCCUUUCCUUGGUGGGAAGGAGGGCUGAUUAUAAUUACCGGUACUAUUGGCUCUUUUUCGUAUUUCACCAUGGUUUUAUGCGGAAGAACAAGGACUUACACGUUCCCAGCUCUUCACAAAUGCAGAUUUAACAAAAGGGAAGACGAUUUCCCUACCUUAAGAGAGUACAAUGAUUACUUGGAAGAAGUGGAAGACAUGAGUAUGUAUGAAGAAGCUCUGUCUCUUGAUCUGAUAGUAGGCUCCUCUGUUAACGUCCGUCCUGUGUUUUCUUUUGAAGCCUUCAAUUUGAUUGAAGGGAUAGACGUUCCUGCCAUUGAAGCCAAAAUUGCCAAGUACCAAGUGGAAAAUGCUGAGCAAAUAAUCAAUUCCCGAGCACGGAGGGUAUUCUAAAUUCGUUCGUCAUAUUUCUCGCAUAUUAGCCACACUGCUAAGUUCACUUUUCUGAGAGAAUGUGUACUAGUUGAGCAGGCUGAGGAGUUGGCAGCUUCACUGGCAAGCAAGAGGAAACCUGCUCAGACUGAUGACUCUGAACCUGUGAGCCGAUUUCCCCAAUUAAGAUGUGUGCUUAUUGUCUAGUGUAUUGUAUUGAUAUUCUUGGAGAUGAAACCAAUGCAGCCAAUGCUGCGACAGACUGUAAGAUUUUGUCCUAGUCAUCAUUCAGCUUUAUCUCUAGUGUGUUGUUUUCUUCCUUCUUUUUUAUCCUCAUUUCUUUUUCUUCUCUGCCAUCCUCCACCGUUUUCCUCCUUUUUUUUCUUCCUCAAAUCUCUUCCAGCAACCAAUGUUUUCAUGUUCUUCCUCUGAUAGCAGCACUAGUUUUGAGAAAGGCCAAUCCAAACAAUCCUCUGAUUUCAGCUCAAUCCCAUCUGAUGUGAUGGCUUUGUUCUAUAUUCAACAGGAGAUUAGAGCCCCAACCCGACAGCCCACCAGAGCAGAUUGACUUGUUUUAAUUCUGAGGACUAUGGCCGGAUCCCCUUUCUUUUUUAUGGGAUCCCAUUUAGUUGUAUUCUUUCCGAUUUAAUGACCCUCCCUCUUAGUUGGCUCAUUCAUUCAGAUGUGUUUCAGUGCCUGUCUUCUGUCCAUUUUGUAAGCAGUAGAUCCACAUAUCAGCUGGUCUGUUCUACGCAGAUUUAAACACCUCCUCAUACUUUCUACAGCCUUCUUCAACUUGCUUAUUCAGUUGCCAUUAAUUCUUGUUAAUUUUUUUCUUGCAAUUUAUUGAAAAUUACAAUGGAAUGUUCUUUUUUGGUAUUUUAUGUGGAUAAAAUAUUGGCAUUUCGCAUUCAGAUUUUGUUCAUCUUGACUGAAUAGUUAUUCCUUAACUGGGUCAUGCGUUAUGCUUCAAAUACAAGAUUCUCUAUUGCUCAGAGGCUUUUUUCAAGAGCACUACUGUGUGAUUGAGACUAGGGGAUCCUAUGUCUCUGCGUCUGUUCUUUGUUGUGGAAUAAAAUCAUUUCUAAAUGUGGAGUAGCACUGGAGUAGCACUACUGUUGGAAGAUUACUUGUAGGAAGUUGGUCCAGACAUCAUACGUGCUAUUUAUCUCGAAUUUGGUGACGCUACAGCAAUGUUUGAAAAAGAGAAGGUGCAGAAAAUUUAGUCCUUAUAACGGUUAUUCAAUUAGCUGGAAAUAGUAUCUGGUCAGCACAGAAUUUUGAAACAAAAAACUUCGGAAAUUGGCAUUGGAGAAGAUGGAUGGUUAGCACUGCUGCUAUAAUUAAGGUAGAAAACUUCCAUUAAGGCUAUGGGCUCCACUGUCCAUAUAAUGAGACUGCCUGAGCGAACUGAAUUGAAUGCAGAACAUUGAUUCUAGAUCAAGAAAACGGACUGUGAAACUACUUGGUGAAUGGGUUUUUCUGGCAUUUGUUCUUUCAAGUCUGCCUCUGUACUUGGUGAAUAUAAUUCUGCUAUGAUGGAAAUUGAAGCAACAAGGGGCAGUUCUUAUAUUGUGAAGCAGAUAGAGAUGCGAAAAAUUUCCCCCAUAUUAAGUGGGAUAAUACAUGUAAACAUGUGAAAUGAGAAAAAAGUCUAGCUCAGGUUGAAGAUUUCUUUUUUCAGCGUGACUCAGUGAGAAGAUAGAAGGGGGACUUUAGAAAACCAGAGAUCAAAUGCAAACGGAGUUUUCGUCAUUAAUUCUUUCUGUGAAAAAUCAUAGUUCUUGGAGAUGCAGUAUUUGGUGGUGGAGAAUAGUUUGGAAGAAUCACCUUUCUAAAAUAUAUUAAAAUACUUGUUUUGCGAUUUAUCAUCAUGAGGGUGUCCAUUUGCGAUAUAAUACAAAUCUUCAAACCUAAUGCCUAAAACAAAUGUGCUAAUUCAGGAUCAUCCCAUUCUGAUUGAUAGAACAUCCCUAAGCUGGAACACUGCCUGGUGUUUCUCUAUUUUUAUGUUAUUUCCACUAGAAGUAAAGUUCUCUGAUUUCCGCUUAAUUGGUCAACUAAGGCAAUCAAAUCAGUUCUUAUUGGUUCAAUUCAGCCAAUCUGAUCAAUUUUGGGUUCACUUCACACAAAAUACCUGGCCUAAAAAUAUCAGAGAUUAUUGUUUCCUAUCAAGAUACAUAGUGUAGUCGAUAUAUAGUUUUUCCCGUUCUAAGAAGAGAUUGCGAGUGUUUCUGUUGUAAUUAUGUUCUUUCAGUAUACUAAUAGGUACAGUGUUUGAAACAUUAACGGUAUAUUUUCUCUCGACUUGAAUCCUGCAGGGUUCAGGACAACCCUCAGGCCACUACGCUCCUACUGCUCUGCCUGGUGGCGCAUUUGUGCAACCGCGUCCAAUUGGUGGCGCUCUGCAGCCUAUUCCUGUCAGAGGUGGGAUUGAAGGUCUGGAUGGAAGUGCAAUUGACGACGUGGAAACGCUGAAACUUAAGGCUGAGAGAGGUGCGAGGGCAGGAGGGUGGACUUCAGAGCUGAGCAGAAAGCGGGCAUUAGAAGAAGCAUUCAGCAGCAUGUGUGUAUGAUCCACAACGGUGUAAUAGGACUGAUUGGAGUAGUAUGAUAGCUCACCCAGGCAAAAGUGAGAAACAGCUUAAGGUGGAUCGAUUUUCUCCCUUGCAGAGCGUUUUUUUUCUAUCUUUUUGCAAUGCGUGCCAUGUCUGUGCUGGGUGCACUGUGACACAGCUCAGUUCAAAGCUUCAGUGCCCUUCAUAAUUUUUUCUCUUGACCAAGAGAUACAUUGUCUGUGGUACAAUUAUACGUACGGCGAUUAAGGGCUCAGCCUUCAUAUUUUCUGGCCUUAAAAGUAUCCUCCAUUUUUAGAAGCAAAACACCCACCUUCAAAAAAUAUACAGUUUCAAUGUGAGCCCUCCAGCUCCCUGUUUGCCCUGUAUUAUAUCGCUUAUAUAGCGCUCCUCCCCUUCACUGCCCGCUCUAAAUAAAAAAGAGAACAGAGUGAAAUGAAGACAAACGUCCAGCUAUCAGAUGCUCCAGUGGCUGUGGAUGGCUGCAUGCAUGCUGCGGUAGGAGGCAUGAGGAUGCUGGGUGAUGGCUCCCGUUGUGAUCUUGCUGUGGAUGGCUUGAAAAGCCCAAGGCUGCAGCGCCUAGUCGUCCUCUGGAUCAAAAUCCCGCACUUUCACAUCCGCGUCUUCUCCGUACUGAAUGCAGUUAUCAAUAUAGGACAGCACGUACUGUAUGCUGCAAGUUAUCAAGGAAAGCAUCAGACAUUGAUUCUCUCUUUCUGGACUUGCCAGGUUUGUGACGAGAACGUUCUCCAAUAACUUAUGCCUUGGUUCGAGAUUUGUUGAGAGAUUAUGACUGCUAUUCCAACACAAAGGAAAAAAUAUAUUGGGAUGACUUCAAAAUCACGCCCUCAUUCAAGCUCUGCUGCAUCCUGAUGCAAAGUUUACUUGAAGCUUGAUUUUUCUGUCUCCCAAUGUAGAUCUGGAGUGGGGAAGGGGGUACCCAGGUUGACAUGACAACUGGUCGAGUGUAUACCGUUUCUAAUGCCAAACAAUAUACAUAUAUACUUAAAUAUAUAUAUAUAUAUGUAUAUAUCUGUGUGUGUGAGCAAAGUUCCGAAGGACCAACUAACCUGCUCUGCUUCCUCAAGUCUAAUGGCACGAAAUUCACCAUGCUGAAGUCAUCAACCUGAUGAAGAAAUUCAAUUCUUGAUCCAUAAAAAACAGGAUAAAAGAGAUGAAGCUCACAAGUUAUGCUAUAAGCUGGAUCAGAAAAGCACAGCUAUAAUUUGAAAAUUAUGGGGCAAAAUCUGGGUUCCAAGUGCCAUGCCAAAAAAAAGAUGUCAAGAUGGACAUUUACAACUGAAUAAUAGAUCUACCAAACGAGGAAGCAAUCACAAGCUACACUAUGAAUGAUCUCAUGUGCAUUGCUCCCCAUCUUUACAGGCACGGUGAGUUGAAUUGCUUCGUUCACCAUCUUCAUCUUUAUUAUGCAAAUUAUUCUACAUAAGGUCGUUCUAUGAGACUGGUAAGGAAUGACUAUUAGUGUUUCAGGGAUCAGUACACGACUCUUCACAAAAGCAGAUAAGGAUUAUCUUUGAAACAGUAUGAACAGCGUGGUGUUCUAUCUUUCAGCCAAAUAUAAAAGUAGUGUGUGGAUAGAAGACAUUUUUCAUGAAUUAGAAUUAGAAUUAAGGUUUUUGUGAAUUCAGAUGUCAUUAAUUGUCACUCUAACAAUAGCUUUUCCUAGAAACCAAUAUCAUCUUCAAAGGCUCAAAAAGGAUUGUCGACUUUCCUGCAAUUGAGAGUGAUUUCCUCAAAAACUACAACCAAAUAAUGAGAGGAAAAAGAUAGAGAGGGGGAAAGAGGCAAAGGAAAACGAACUGCCAUGGAUAUUAUGCUCUAUGUGAAGAUUGGUGUGUGAAGUAGGAUCUGAAGCCCAUGCAAGAGAUAAAGGAAGCCAGUAUGAAAUAAAACAUCCAGGAAGCAUUUAUAGGUUUGAGAAAAAGCUCUGGUUUCAAUAAAUAAAUAAAACUACUAAAAAAAUUGUAAAUGUGAAAUCGGUCAGAUAAGCUUCAAGAUGUUGAUAAAAUGGCAACCAAGCUACAAAAAAAAAACAAUUGAGAAAACGUGUAGGAUUGGCAUCUCACCAGCUCUGCCAAAGCUUUAUUUAGCUUUGCAAAUUGAGGUGGCAUUCGCUGAUUCAAUUCUGAUACUAAGACCUUGGCCUCUGGAUUUAAGUAACUGAGACAAAAUAAAAGGAAAAAUAUGAGUAGAGUAAAGCUGGUUAAGACAAGAUGAAAGAAAAGAAAACUCACUCCUCAAUGUCCUUUUUGUUUUUUACGAGAUCCAUUUUGGACAGAAUAUUGACAUGAGGUAAUUCAAGCUGAACCAUUGCAGAAAGAGAUGCCAUGCAACCGCUUAUAUACUUGGAAACAUCAGUUACGAACUGUACAGGAGAAAAAUCUUUUAGCGCACUCUCAAUGAAUGACAGCGCUAAUAUAGGAUAAACGAAACAGAGUUCACAAAAAGAGGAAACAGACCUGAGAAUCAAGCAAGAAAACUGCACAGACAUUGAAAUUUUUGCGCUUCAGGUGAUCCACAAAGUUCCGAAGAACUGGAACAUGUGUAAAUAGUUCUAUUUGACCUGCAGGGAAUUAUCACAUAGGAAAUCAGUGAAGAUAGAAUGAUUCCGAAAAGUUCAGGAAUUUCAAGGCAAUACUUCAAUUUGAAAAACUAGCAGAAGAACUCCUUGGCAAGAGUUUUCUUCCCAGCAAGAAUCGGUAAUUCUCCUUACGAGUCAUCCCAGCAUAAGAAAUAAGCACGGUGUAAGUUUUGUUACAAACAAAGAGCAGUGGGGAACAUCACCACCAUAGCGUUUACAACUAUUGUAAGAUUCUCAAUUAUCGAAGCGCACACUUUAUGUCAGCCAUAGGACUAGAUUCACUUGAGACGCCUAAACAACUCCCCCCUCUCUCUCCCAGGGGGGCCCUCCCUCCAAUCUUCUUUGAGACAAUAAUGGCAAUAUGAAUGGCCUUAAUAAAGAUUUGCUGCGCCAGAUUGGGGAGAUUGAGAAAGCAAUUUAGCAAUUGUCAUAUUAAUCCAAAGGAUCAUUUUGCUGUUUUUGAAAGCCGCAUGCCACGUCUUAUUAAAAGUUUCCUUUAUCUCUAGUUAGCUGAACCACUAACAGCCAAGGCCAUGCCAGCCCUCUGCCAACGGGUAUCACAACGUUCUAGAAAACUGACAACAAUGAAGGAUGCACCAUAGACCAGAGAUGUCACCACAACAUGGAGAAAGUAAAAUCAGUAAUCAAGAAUAGACCAAUGAAGGAGGCAAGUCAGAGAUAUUACUUUGGUGACACUAUAAAAUCUGAGAGAUAUGACAGUUAAGAACUCAUCAUUUACCAGAAAAACGGGGGGAAUCAUCAAAGAAACCGACCAUGAUGCAAAGAAACCUAGGACGAAACUUGGUCUCAAAUCUCUCUAUGCGUGUCCCACUCAUGCUCUUUAUCAUGGGUUAAAAUGAUAUAGGCUACGUAAUGAACAAUGCCCACAAAUAGACAAUGCAUACUUUUUCAUGGAAUACAACAGUAGACACAAGUUACCACCUUGCGGCCACGAAUAAUUUUCAGAUUGAACAGACGUGAAAAAUUGGGAAAUAUGGGUAAAAAAUUGUAGAAAAGAUAUUUUUUGAAACUGUUAAAAGAUGGGUGCAGAAGAUUAGGAAAAUUUUUGUGGAGAAGAGAUGUGAAUGAUGAAAGAGCGUGGGAUGUGACAAGAUCAAGGGAACAAUAGUGCUGGACAGUAGUCCCACACUGAAUGAAUUGAGUUCGGCAUUUCAUAGUUAAAUACCGAGUACUACACAAUUGGCUCACAACUGGUGCCUGGUGGAUCAGCUGACACUUUAACAGAAGCUUUGACAUGAAUAAUAUUAACAGAAUCUAUGAAUCUACAGUGGAAAUACAAGCAAUUAUCAGAAACCUAAGGGAAACUGUAUUAUAACUCGUUUCAUUUCUUCAUUUUCCAAAUAAAUUCUAUCCCCUACUCCCCAUCCCUAUUCAACGGAAAUAGUGGGCCCUAGUUUCUCCUGCCCUUCAGUGUACAUGAAUGCAGAAAACAACAAUAAAUGUCAUCCACACAUUCAAGAUCUUCAUAUAUGUUCUGAUCAGAAGGAUAUGGAAUGAAAAAAUUCUCCACAAUGUUCUGGUUGUCACCUGUUUAGAUCUGCCUCUGAAGGUAACUCUGACGAAUGCCCAGUUUAUGUCAAUCCUUUUCGCCAUUUACCCAACAAAAAAAGAAUCUAAUGGAUAACAUUGCCCAGACAGCUUUUUGAUGACUCAAGCAUGAUUGAAAGAGGCCAUAUUGAAAAAAAAGAAAAAAGAAAAAGCUAUACACUCAUUCUUAUGACAAAUGCCCACAAUGAAAAAUGAGCCCCAUCAACCAGUAAACAUCUCUCCAAUAAUCUCACUGUUCCGUUCUUCUUGAUGCAACGUAAGGAGAAAGACUACUCAUCCAGUAUGAGCUUCGUUGGUGUCUCUCAAAGUUAUAUUUUUAGAGGCUCAUUCAAAGCAUCAUGAAGGAGGUGGCACACCACCUAAAAAAACCUUUGAGAAACAAAUACGCGCUGAGAACAAGAAUUCAUGUCUACAUGCAAAAGGAAAUACCUGGACAAUCAAAAACAAGAUAAUCAUCAUCCAAGUAGUUCUCCAGUUCUUCUUCCAACCAGUCAUCUAAAUUCUCUUCCAAGUGUCUGAAGCACGCUAAGAAAAAUCAAGAAAAAGCCAGAUUUGGUUUGAAGCAAUAUUCUAAAAUAAUUCAGGAAACAGAAAUGAACCAAAAAAUGGUACAUUCAAUAUCAUAAAAUCAAUCUUGGUGCCAUAAAUGCAAGAUAAACGAACGAAAAGUAAAAGCUGAACAUGCUGCUCACGUGUCAAAGAACAUCUCUACCUAGGCUCGUUAAGUUAGUCUUGCAGGUGACUUUUCUAAGAUUCUGCUCUCGAUGUGCAAUAUUUAUAGGUCGAGUCACAGGGUUCAGAGAUCUUUGCUGGAAUCCAAUAUUCUGAAGUGGUUUCAUCAACAGUUACGAACAAGUCAUAGUUGAGUUCGUAGGUCACGACUCUGUUUUCUCAUUUUCUGACUUUAACAUACUAAGUCAGCUAGCCUGGACAAAGAUUCCGUAAUAAGCUAGACUAAAGUGGAACUCUGGAGAGGUUCAGAUUCGAGGCAUUUUGAGUAUCCAAUCCUAACCAAAAUGAUACAAUUAGGUUUCCACCAGUCUCCGUUUUCAUGCUGACAGUAAAAGGGCAUCCUUUGCCCAAGGUUCACUGACAAGCCAAAUUACGAAAUGGUUACACGAAUUAUAUGAGAAAUCUCUCAGUCAGCAAUAACUAAUGCCGCCCAAAGGAAGAGCUACCAGUCCACUAUCAACUAGAAGAUUACAUAAUAUCGCUGACCAUUAAAGGAAGCUAAAAUAAUUUGCGCUAAAAAAUCAGCCUGGGCAAGCAUAUUCCACAUCUGACUUACUUCAAUAAUCCCAACAUGAUCAUUUUAUGAGCACAUGCACCACGUAUUUUCCAAUUGAUUGGAACUCUAAUAUCUAUCCUGCUUUUAGUCAAGAUAAGUGUGUAUACAGAUACAUAUAUCUUAAAGUAAGCAGGGUGGACAACUUUGAGGCUAUAGUAGCUUUUCACAUUUUGAUUAGAGAAGCCCUCAGGAAAAAACAAUGAGCCUUCGCUCCAAUUCAAACCUUACAUAAUUUACAAUUUCCUCAAACGACCAUCAAAGUAAGUCAUUCAUAUUUCCUCAUCAUCAUUCUUCAGGAAGAUAUUUUUUAUUCCAGGGAAAGUGCACAACAUUGGUCCUAAAUAUCCUACCAAUUUAGAGAAUUACAAGUCAAUAUGGAGCAUCUCCUUCUUAAACGACUGCAACUAAGAGAAGCAAGAUACAUGCACUGGUUCCAAGAAGAUUUCAGUAAAGGUGCAAAUUGGUGGAAUAAAAGGAUACUCCAUGCAGUAAAUGAGACCCCCAUUGGGACCCAGAUCAAGCUCUUCCAUUACAUCAUCCAGGGAUAUAAGUUCUCUAAUAUCUGCACACACGAAAGUAAAAUAGUUCAAGGAAAGCCAGAUUAGUUAGGAAAAAGAACAGCUUACAUCAAUGAGAAAUAAGAGCUAUAAUUGGGCAAAAUUUUCGAGGCUACAGCGCUCACCCAUAGCCACUGGAUAGUCAAAACUCUCUGCAGCAGGAUCCAAGUUGAUGAUGUGCAUGGUACGCCUCAUUGUCUCGCAGUGCUGAUACAGGCUGGAACAGUAUGUCGACUGGCCGAUGGAUCCAAGUAGAAAAAUGAGGGAAAAGAUUAAGUUUCACCCAGCCACAACCAAUCUGAAGUUUGCAAACAACUUUAAUAAAAUUUGGAGAGGCUUAUUUACUUGACUAGAUACCUAAAUCUGAAGGAACACAUUAGGCUUAUCUAACAAAUAGCUCUCUGCCGAUUCCUGGCUUAUCUAAUAAAUAAGGAUGGCCCUUACACAAGCGUGGAUAAGCUGCUCUUGUUCAUUCGUAUUUUCUAAGAUAUCAGUUAGAGAAUUAAAGAAUGUCCCGUAAGAUAGCUCUACAUAGAGAUAAGCGGCUGUGUCUCUUUGGUGUUCUGAUUCUCAUUACUUGUCCAAAGCUCAAGCUCUGGUUGAGCAUGGAACAAAGAAAACUCCUAUGCAUCAGAGCUCUUGUCAUCAUAAAUUCAAAUAAUUUGAGCUCCACUCCUCCAUGACUCCAUAAUUAUUAUCGUCUCGAGCAGCGAGCUUCGAUAGAACAAGGCUUCUUGGUCCAGUUAGAGCCGUUUACGGACCUAAAGUAAACUAGAGAAGAGGAGGUGAAAGUAAAACAGGAUGAUAACCUUUCCACUUCCAGCGGGGCCGAUCACGAGUUGCGCGAAACCCAUGUCGAUAGUGUCGGAGUCAAGCGAACCGCUCUAGGUUUUCCUUCGCCCCCAGUGCGGUGCCUUUUCUAAGAAUCAGGCCGCGGACACGGCCCAGAGGGAGAAAGGGGAGACCGUGGAGAUGAGCGUAUGCCGGGUGAGAGGGAGGCCGGGAGUGAUGCGAGCACGGCGGUGGCGGGGUGCCAGACGGCCGCCGUCCGCAGCAGGACGACGAAGGGGGCCGGCGUCGGAGCUCCGAGCUUGGAAAGGGAGGAGAAGCUUUUUCGGCGUGGAGGCGGGGGGAACGCCGUCAGAGGCGUCGCGUGAGAGAACGGCGAAAACUCCGAACUUGCCCGGGGCUGGGGCGCGCGAGCAUUAUUUAUAUAGGAGAAAUGACUAUUUGUCGCAUCAUGAUCGCAAGGAAAAGAAAAAAAAAUUGCCCAAUUCUUGUCCCGGCGAAUUCUCCGUCACUGAAAACAUUUCAGAGAUUUAGUUCUAUAAUCUUCGAGCUAUCCCUAACAAAUACGAUUCGGUCUUCGGAUAAAUCACGUCGGCAUGGAUAUCCCUGGGAACACCCUGAAGAGACUUUGGUGGUCGUAAAAAACUCUGCGUGAAACUCUGCGACCGUCGCACCGAACCACAUCAGUCACCGACGGCGAUCAGCUUUUGCAAAUAGAUAUCCAUAAUUAUGUUGAAGAAUAAGAGUAAUUCACCAAACAAAGUUCUUUGUUUUAGGACAUUUUUUGUAUAAAUAGUUAAAUUUGGGAAUUUCUUGGAUCAUCUUGAGAAUAAAACUUCGAUCCUCAUAUUCACUCUUUCGAGCUCUAGAGACUGGGGAAGUGACGAACAGUGAAGAAGAAUCUGAGGCGUCCUCAUUUGAGGAAUGUUUGCUCUCCAAAAGGUAUGUAAGCUCUCCUUGUUUAUUUUCACAUUUGCAGGAUAGGAGAUUGAAUGUCUUCUUCCUAAUCUCAGCAUGGUAUCAGAGCCACAUCAAAUAUGGUGAGAUGCGUCCUAACAUAUGGUUAUUUUAUAUUGUUUUUAACAAGGUUGAAGGAUUAGUCAUUUCAAGGUUCUUUUGAUUUUGAAAUUGGUAAGUUCUUGAAGAACUUAUGGAAACCUACUUUUAUUCCCUCAGGAGUUCUAUUAUGAAUAGUGUUUAAUUGAGGUUUGGGUAAUCUUCUAUCCAUAAAAGGAAAGAAAGCAAUCAUCGAAAUUUCAAAUAAAUCUAUUGAGAUUAUAAGCAUAGAUCAGAGUGUUGAUUUCAUUGAAGAACUCAAGUCUUCUGACUCCAUAUGGGUUAGUCAAUUGAUCAAGACAAUCGAGAGAGAUCAAUUUAUGAGACAUAAUGUGUUUUAGUGGAUAGGUUAUCUUGAGAGAAUCUUGAAACCAAGGAAUUUGAUGCAUCACCUUCUUGAAGAAGGACCUCUGACAUCAAAUCCUAAGUAUUUUAAUUGGUUGAAUGUUGAGACGAUCCUAUUUAGAUAGAUCUUCGAUUUAAUGACGUCAGAUAUAUGACAUAUUACUUUCAAUAUGAGCCAAAUUUUAAGAUUAUUUUGGGAAAAAAUCUCAACUAAUUACUCAAAGAAAGAGGAUGACAUGAUAAUCUAUGAGUUACUUGUGGCUACUAGUAGAGCUAAUCAAGGACAGAGGAAUGUCAAAGAGUAUGUAAAAGAUUUGAUGGCUAUGUGGAAAGAAUUAGAUCACCAUUGACCACCAAUUCAUCAGUCCGUGGAUAAAGAAUAUACCUUAAGAGAUCGAGUAUUCUUUUUUUGAUCGGCUUAAAUUCUAAGUUUGAAAAUUUUCAGAUAUAAAUGUUUAACAGAGAAAAAAGACUCACAUUAAUGAGACAAUUUCUCUAGUUGCAAGGGAAAAAAAAUGAUUAAAAGUAAUGAAUUCUCAAUCUAGUGGAAUAGAUCAUACUUAGAAUUCCCCUUUCAUAGUCUAAAAAAGAAGUAUGGGCCAAAAUCAAACCAAUACUAAUCAAAAUUUGAAUAAAGGAAAAAGAAAAAAUACAAAAGAAUACCAACAAGGAUACUUAUUGGUGCAAUUACUACAAUAAGAAAGGCCAUACAAGAUAUAAGUGCUCAAACUUACAUAGGAAACCAAGUAAUAUCAAUCAAGGACAUGUCGUUGCAAGUGUUCCUAAUUCUGGAAAUUUUUUUGAGAAUAAAGUGCUAAAUGAAGGCUUGACCUCAGCUAUAGAACAAUUAUGUGAGAAAGUCGAAGAAUUGAUGGGAGCAUCUUCAAUUAGUAGAUAUGCCUCUCUUGUCACCUCAAGUAAUUUUAAAAUUCUAGAAAUUAUAGGAUUUACUUCAAUAGCUAAAUCUUUAAUAUUCAAUGAUUUCUCUAAGCCAAGUUGGAUACUAGAUUUUGGGGCUACAAAACAUGUCACCUAUUUCAUCUUUUUUUAUCUCAUAUUGCUUCUAUUUGAGUAAUAAAAAGGUUCAAACAACUGAUGGAGCUUAUCUAACAAUUGCUAGGAUAAGAAAAAUAAAGUUAGAUUCAAUUGGCAUAUUAGAGAAUGUUUUACAUGUGCCUAAAUUAUGCUUAAGUUCAAUUUCUAUACAUAGAUUAGCUAAAACACCUGAAAUUUAUGUUAUAUUUGAUGAGGAUGACACAUUAAUGUUGAAUAAGGUGUCUCAACGCAAAAUUAGACUUGCUAAGUUAAGAUGAAAUAAAACUUUUACAUAGACAAUUGGGACAUCCAUCUUUAGUUGUGAUGAAAAACUCUUUCCUCACCAAAUAAAGCCUCAAUUGAAUAAUCUUGAAUGUGAGGUGUGUGAGUUUGCCAAACAUAAGAAGAAUUCCUACUUACCAUCAGAUACAAUAACUACUAACCCAUUUAGAAUAGUGCAUUAUGAUCUAUGGGGACCAACUAAUGUUGAUAGUUUGGAAGGAUAGAGAUGAUUCCUAAUAAAUGGAAGGCCAUAUUAGUUCACAUGGAUUUAUCUUCUGAAAAAUAAAUCAGAGGUAAAGAAAAUUAUAUAGUCAUUUUAUCAACAAAUAUUUCAAAAUUUUGAAAUAAAAUUAAAACUUUUCAAAGUGAUAAUGCAAAAUAUUUUUGCAAUAAUGAAAUCUAAAAUUUUUUCAAAGCUAAAGGGUAAAACAUGAGACAUCAUUGGUGUAUACUCCAAAACAAAAUAGAGCAUCAUAACAAAAAAUUAAAGAUAUUAUGGAAAAAACUAGGGCUUUGUUAAUACAAAGUCAAACCCCAAAAGCAUACUAGGGAGAGGUAGUGGCAACAUUUACUUAACUCGUUAAAUGUUUGCCUUCUAGGGUGUUAGCUUAUAUUAGCCCCAUUGAUAAACUCAGCUCAUUUUUUCUUAAAGAAUAAUCUUAAACUUAAGGUGUUUGGAUGUAUUUGCUACAUUCAUAUACCUUCUAUUAAAUAGGAUAAACUUGAGCCAAAAGCACAUAAAUGUGUAUUUCUUGGGUAUUCUAAUUUGCAAAAGGGUUAUAGGUGCUAUUUACCAAGUUUGAAACAAUAUUCUAUAUCUAAGGAUGUUACAUUUCAUGAAAACAAGAUUUUUUCAUAAAUUAUUUAAAGAUAGUAGAUGAAUAUAAGAAAGAUGUAGAUACUACUGAGAAUAUGGGAGACCCAAUAUAUAUCUCAUAGGAUACAAUAUUAUAUGAGCCAAUAAUAGAAGAAAUCUCAAUACCUAGAAACAAAGAUAUCAAUGAUGAUCAAAGAAGAUACAUAAAACUUAGGAUUAACUAAGUGAAAGACCUAGAAUUCUAAAGAGACUUUAUCCCAUUGAAGAAUAUUUGGCUUAUAUAACUGUAUCUCCUAGAACAUGUGUGACUAAGUUAGUUGUGAAUAAUAUUCCAAAGAAUGAGAAGGAAGCUUUACAAAUUGAUCACUAGAAAAAGGCUAUGAAUAAGGAAAUUUUAACUCUAGAAUAGAAUAACACUUGGAAUAUCUUGAAUUUACCAAUAGGUAGAGUAUGGCUGCAAGUGUAUUUAUACAAUCAAAAGUAAACCCAAUGGAGAAAUAGAAAGAUAGAAGGCUAGAUUGGUUGCUAAGGGUUUUCUCAGAAUUAAGGAACAAAUUACUUUGAUACCUUUACACCAGUAGCUAAAUUAAAUAUAAUUAAAAUAGUUAUUAUAAUUUUAGCUUGCAAAAAUUAUAAUUUAUUAGUAUGAUGUUAAUAAUGCAUUUCUAUAGGGGGAAAUUAGAGGAAGAACUAUAUAUGGAUUUUCCUCUAGGGUUUGAGUACAAAUAUAAACCAAAUUCUAUAUGUGAAUUAUAGAAGACAAUAUAUGAAUUGAAAUAAGCACCUAGGGCUUGGUUCAACAAAUUUUAUCAAUCUAUGAUUAAAUUUGGGUAUGACUAAAGCAAUGAAGAUGACACUUUAUUUUUUAAGCAUUUAAACUAAGGGGGAGUAAUUAUCUUAAUUGUUUAUGUUGAUGAUGUAAUCAUUACUAGGGAUAAUAUAGAAGAAAUUAAUAUAUUAGAUCAACAAUUAAGAUGUGAGUUUAAUAUUAAGAAACUUGAACUUUUAAAGUAUUUUUUAGGAAUAGAAAUUAGUUAUACUUAUUAUGAAAUUUUUUUAUCUCAACAUAAAUAUAUUUUGGAUUUGCUAAAAGAAAUUGGAUUUGAAAAAUGUAAACAUAUUUCAACUCCCAUUGAUCCCAAUCAUAAAACUAUCAAAUAAUGAAGAGGUAGAAGAAAAAGAUGAAAAAACAUAUCAGAGAUUAGUUGGUAGAUUGAUCUAUUUAGCCUACAUUGGACUAGACAUUUCCUAUUAUGUGAGUGUUUUGAGUCAGUUUAUGCACUCCCUAAAUCAACGUCAUACAAAGGUAGCAUAUCGAGUAAAAUGUAUCUUAAAGGUACUGUGAGAUUAGGAAUAACUUUUAAAAAAGUGAUUAGUUGAAUUUAUAAGUUUUAAAAAUUUUGAUUAUACAAACUCCUUAGUAGAUUAUAGGUCAACAAUAGAUAUGUGCUCAUUCUUGGGAGGUAAGAUCACCUACUACUGAAGCUGAAUUGAGAGCUAUGGCUCAAGGGAUUACAAAAGUUAUGUGAAUCAAGAGGAUUCUAAUUGAUUUAAAAUUUGCAAUUACUCUACCUAUUUAAUUAUAUUGUGAUAACAAAUCAACUAUCUGUAGUGCAUUAGAUCCUAUUUACAAUGGACAAAUGAAACAUGUGGAUAUUGAUUGACACUUCUUCAAUGAAAAGAUUGAGGGAUUGAUAUGCAUGCCCAUACAUCAGCACUAGUGAACAAUGCACAAAUUCGCUUACUAAGGGACUCAGAGCUUUAUUAUUUACAGCACACUUAGGCAAGCUUGGUAUGAAGAAUCUUCAUAACUAAGCUUGAGGGGAAGUGUUGAAGAAACAAGAGUAAUUCAUUAAAUGAAAGGCUAGUUUUUAGAACAUUUUUUGUAAUAUCUACUAUUUUAAGGUUUCUUUCUUAAUUAAGGUUAUAAUUGUCACCAGUCUUGAAUGAGUUGACUGAUUUUGGAGUCAAUAUUACUGUUGCUUAAAUUUAUAUAAAUAGUUAACUUUUGAGGAUUUCUUGGAUCAUCAUGUGAAUAGAAUUCAAUCCUUAUAUGGGCUCUUUUGAGCUCUAGAAACUGGGGAAGUGAUGAACAGUGAGGAAGAAACUAAAGCGUUCUCAUUUGAGGAAUGUUUGCCCUCCAAAAGUUUUGUAAGCUCUCCUUGUUUAUUUUCACAUUUAAAAGAUAGAAGAUUGAAUAUCUUCUUCCUAAUCUCGACAAAUUCUUGUGGAGCGGCAGCAUUUUUCGAUUUGAUCUCCUUAAUUUUCAACAAUUAUCUCAUCAGGAGAGCAAUGCUGGAAAUAAUUUUCUGCGCGAUUUUUUCUGCGUUCAUCAACCUUGUAAAAAGGCCAGUGGUAGCUUUUCGAGCCCAGCUCUCUCUCUCUCUCUCUCUCUCUCUCUGUGACCCAUUAAAGAUCAGUGCAGUAAUGCAGGUGCGAUUCUCAAGGGGCAGCACUGGGCGAGGGAAUCUCGCUGUGGUGGUUGCGCCGAUAGCUUGGCCGUGGCCCCGGCGUCCUCAUUGGGCGAGGCGCGGACUUUUGCCAUGGAAGGGAGAGGAAAAGGUCCGAAUUUUAUUGACGCGUGAGGGCCCAUUGAAACCUCCCGUCUUUGUCUCCGGUCCUCGGCUGGACCAGCUGGCCACGGUUUCCCUUCCCUAACCUCCCCUUGCUCCCACCUCUCCUUGUUUUUUCCUCUGCCACGCCAGGGCGGUCGAAUCCAACGCGAGAGGUGCCCACGCAGGCUGCGGGCCGGGCGGGAGGCUGAGAGUGUUUUCCCUCCUCUCUGCCCCUUCUCCGCCUGAACAGCGCCACCAGGUGUACGAUUUCCCCCAGCUCUUGGCAACGCGGCGCGGGGAGCCGCGACAGGGUCACAGGGUCUUCUCCACCGGUCCUUCUCUGGAUCACGCGCGGCUACUCUUCUUCUCCUCGUCCUCCUGCGACGAUGAAUAACCUUCUGACGGUGCGCUCCGAUCCAGAUGUAUAUGUUUGAGCGUUCAUUUAUUUUAUUCGCGUCUACUCUUCUCUCCCUACUCCCUGCUCUCUGGUCGUCACGCUUUGAUCUCGGAUCGGCAGGUCGAUCUUUGACCCGUUUUACUGUCGGAAUAUGUGACCAUUUCAGUGCAACUGCGACAGAAUCUCUCUCUCUCUCUCUCUCUCUCUCUCUCUCAAAAUUGAUGGGUCGUGAGAAACUAGCUCGUCUCGUCGCCCAGAUGUACAGUGGACAUUCGGCUGCUCUCUUCCGAAGAACCAAAGUCAGACGAAUGCAGAAGACGGGGACUCUGCCCUCUGACCGCUUUGAUUGGAAUUCUUGCUCAAGCUUUGGGGAAAUUUCCAUGGAACGGAGAAUUCAGAUGUUUUCACCGGAGGUUACCAAGAUCCAUGAUUCCAAAGUGACCCCGGUGCCCCGCAACCGGAGACCCAUCAAUGGAGUUGGCCGAUCUCAAGGCGGAACUUGUCUCACGGACGCACAACAAUGAUCCGAAGGCAGAGGCCACAGUGCCCCAUGCUGGGCCGCCGUUUUUCUUUAGAAAGAGAUGAAAGCUUGCUGGGAAGAUUGGUCGAGUGGAACGUCGUGGACACACUGCAGACUCUCCGAUCUCUCUGUAUGUGAGGCCCUCUUGGGGAUCUGAUUGUGGAGAUACACAGCUCACGAGUGCUCUACGGGUGGCAUAGAACGGUGGGGCGGUGGAAGUGAAUGCGGUGGUAUAACUCGUUAGAGGUGGCUGUGUUUUGUCUCGCUUGUGCUGGGCUUCUAAUACGCCUCAGCCUUGCUCCCCCGGAAUAUUUUGGGCACUUGUGCGACUGCAUGGAAGCUGCAUACUUAGCCCAAGUGGUGGAUGACUAGUGGUAUUACCUUUGUUGGUGCUGAUGGGCAGAUAAGAGGCUCGUGCUCUUUGAGGGGAGCGAUCAAUUACCAUUUGGCCAUUGUCUUAUGGGUGGAGUCAGGUUAAGAAAAUGCACAUUUUUCUUGUCAGUUUGGCUUCUUUGGCUUAGAUGAUUAAUCAUCAUAGGGAAGGAGUGCUGUUGCCGGCUGAUCCAUGGUGUGAAAGGAUGAUGGUGGUGGCUAAGGACAGGCAGAGAUGUGGCAUGGCCUGGAAUUCCAUCUCCAUUCAUGUAUAAACAGUUUGGGCGACGGUGAUAUUUGAAAUAGUUUGCUGAACAUUGUUGCCUACAAUGCUUUCUGGGCGACUCCAUUUCAUAUUGUCGCAUGUUCUAGACAUUGGAUAUUAUGGUGCAGCGUUGUGAUGUGAGGAGGGCGCAUAUGGUUAUUUGGAGGUGGUAGAAUUUGCUAUAUUACAGGUUGAAAGACUAUGUCAGACUAUUAAAAAUGCUGUAUAAAUUAAAAAAUAUAUGAAAACUUUCACGAGUGUCUGGGUUAAAUGAAUCCAGGCUUUGGUUCUUUAUAGUUCCCGGAUUAAAUGUGUAUGCCAUCUAGUGUGGAAGUGGAGUUACUGCAUUAAUAUUCGUUCUUCAACCAUUUGUCUAUCUUGCUCUCGUCCAUGGAUUCAAAAUGUGGCACAACCAAAUACAUGGUAUUUUUUUCUGUGCAUUUUUCCUUGGCCUCCAUUUGAUGCAUUCUUAUCGUUGUAGAUUGCAUGCAAUUUAUAUAUUACUAAGUCGUCAUGUCUCAUGUAGAGUCAUCUGGAAGGCAAGAGUGCUGAAAAUCUUAGGGAGUUGUUUUGUGGGGGGGGGGGCUAUUUUGAAAAAUAAUUUUUCAAUAACGCAUAAAGAAGAGAAAUCUGAGACACGCUGAUAAAGAGAAUGCAAUAAAGAUUUGUCAAUGGAUAAAGAGUGGAUACAUAAAAUGAUGGGGAGAAACAACCCUAAAUGCAAACAAAUCCGAGAAAUGGAGGUCUUAAUAUUCUGCUAGUCUUUAAAGAAAUAGCCCUCGAUCAAGGUCUAGGUAGGUAAGUGGUCAAGAUGGUCGAACUUGAAACAUUGAACUAAUAACACUUUUUUUUAAAAAAUAGGGAAAAAUGUCGGGCAGUCUAAAAAUGAAAAAAAUGUUUUUUAUGGACAGCCCAGCUCCACGCUCGUUAAUAUGAUAAACAUAGACACUCUAUUGGAGUGAUUUGUAAUUUACCUUGUUCUGUUCUUUAUCAUAGCUUAUUUUUUAAUAUCUAAUUACCCUUAAUGUUUCCUCUUUUUAGGACUCUUUUGAGAUCCCUCGAGGACAGCCCUCAAGGGAUCAAGACAUAGAGAUGGGUGUUCAAGUGUCAACGAAUUCUGCUGAACAAGGAUUGGAAAGUUUUUUCAAACAGGUAGAUAUUUCUAAGAAGUUAAAAUGUAGAAUUACACCGGCCAAUAUUGAAUCAUAUGUCUGCUCUGAUUUUUCUUGAUAGGUUCAAGAUAUUGAAAAGAUGAUCGACAAGCUCUCAAAGUUAUUGAAAAAACUGCAAGUAUGUAUCCCCAUUUGUUUUUGCUUUUUCUUUAUUUCACAUAACGGCAUUUCUAAGUAUAUUUAAUAUAUCUCAUGUGGUCUGAGACAUCUGUUUACUGCCCAGCAAUACCUGGAUUGUGCUACAUUGAAAAUCUGAAGUUUGUAACUUCCUCUGGUGUGCCCAUACCUCAUUCACAAGCAGAGACUGAGAUGGAGUGAGAGCUUUGUGUCAGAACAGGGUCAUUUGGUUAAGAUAUUUCAUAUAAACACGAAUUGGGGACAUAGAUGCCUUCAAGUUUUCUAUAAUAUGUGUUUGAUUGUUUUCAUGAAAAGGAUAUGAGAUGAAAAAAAGUUCUUAAGAGAUGCUGCAGCAGUUGUGACAAAAUUAUUGUAAAAUUAUGUAGCAAAUGUGUUCACCUUGAUUUUUUCAAGCUAGAUACUUAAGAAGUAGAACAUAAAGUGGAGCUCAAACAGCAGGCAGCUUUUUUUGCUUUGCUUCAACUAAUCUUCAUCUACUCAUGUAUUAUGGACUUCAAUUGCCAGUACUUACAUUAGACAACAAAAGUGGUACACCCUUUAUGGAGAAAUGCGAUAAUAAAUUCGAAAGAUGGAAAGGAAAGGAAUUAAUAGGUAAGAAAUGAGUAGUACAUCUUAGCCUAUCUUUCCUUUGUAAUCGAUAAGAAUCUCUUUCAGAAGGCGUCUAACACAAAAAAGAAAGUGUUUCAAACAAUUACUGCGGUUUGAUCUAAACUACCUGGGCUGUCGCGAAAGUCAGUUUUUUAUAUAUGUUUUCAUACAGUCUUAUGCUUCUCCAUGUGCCUUGCUAGUUGGACUCAUAAUAUGGGUGCCCGAUAAUCUGCUACCGAGGGUUCUAUCAUGGGUAGUGGUCUUUGUAUCGACCUAGGCCCCUUUGAAAAGCGAAUCACAAAGGCAUUGGACUACUGGGUUUCCUCAACCCCACCAUGACCCCACCCCAAACCUCCCUCCAAAGGAAAAAAAGUACGGUUUUGACUGGGUAGCUCUGUCCUGUUAUAGAAUAUCCCCUUCUCUCUCCUGCUUCUACACUCACUUUGACCACUCUAGCUGUGCAGCCGUGGCCUGUAGUAGAAUUCCAACCACCUUCCUGGGAAAAUGGUAAGAAGAGACAGUAUUUCAAUGCCAUAUCUCCCUGACGUGCUAUGAACUUUGUCACAUUUCCUGGCCCACAAUUCGGUGUUAUUAAUUUUACUUUCUUUUUGCUUGUACACUCUUCUACAUUUAUAAAAGAUCAGCGUAAAAAUUACUGCUCUACUCUACUCUACUUUGACUUAAACUUGGUUGAUAUUCUUCCUGUCUCUGAAUACACAACCUCAUGCAGGAUGCAAAUGAGGAAUCAAAAGCUGUAACAAAGGCAUCAAUUAUGAAAGGUGCUUUCUUAUUCUUCUUCCCAUAGCUGGAUAUUUACCAUGAUUUAAUACGAUUCUAAUCUUUUUUAUUUUUCAGCUAUCAAACAGCGGAUGGAGAAAGAUAUUGAUGAAGUGGGUAAAAUUGCACGUAUAGCGAAAUCAAAAAUCGAGGAACUGGAUAAAGAUGUAUGCUAUUAUCGCCACCUUUUAGCUACCUGCCCUCAACUGCAUAUGCGGAAAGAAUAUGACAUUUUUUUCCCAAAAAAGAUUUUGGUGGAUGCUUCCGUUGUCUUAUCUGCCUUCUUCUGUCUAAAAAAUAUCCAUGAAUUUAAUUUUGGGCUAUUAGCUUCCCAGGAAAAGUGCGUGCUUUGCUUUUUCUGUUUGAACUCCUAUCAAAAUGUGGUAUGCGUGUUGUUAUUCAGACAAAUUCUGCCAUUUUCUGCAUUUUUUGUGGGUUCCUGGAAGAGAAAAGGGUGGUUCUCUUUUAACAACUAUUUAAUCUUCUUGGUAAUCUCUUCCUCAUCUUUACAUCUUUGAGGCUUUCACUUUUCUCUUUUGAUUUUUUUGUCUUAAGACUUUCUCAUAGCUUUUUUUUUAUUUCCUCACCUUCUGCUACACUUACCUUCAGCAUUUGAUCACUUUUAAGGUCAUUAGCAUACUUGUAAUUCACUGCAGGAACGAACUUCGGAAUAAUCCAAAAGCAUUUUAAUGUAUAAAAUUCAUAUUUUAUGGAAGAAAUUUAUUGUUAAUUUCGUUGCACUGCAUUUGCAUUCUUUUUCCCAAGUUUAUGUCGUAAGUAAGUGGUUUUCUUUUCUUUGGAACAGAAUUUGCAGAGCAGACAGAAACCAGGAUGUGGGAAGGGAUCAGGGGUGGAUCGAUCGAGAACUGCCACAACUGUGUAAUUUAUUUCUCUUACAAUUUGGAUUUGAAUAUUUUUUUUCAAUAUGGACUCAUUAAAUUCGUUGGAUGCAGUGCACUGAAAAAGAAGUUGAAAGAAAAAAUGUCUGAAUUCCAGGUAAUGAUCCAUUAUUUUACCCUGCCUCGACAAAAUUAAGUUCUCUUUUACCAUGAAUCAAAGAUCUCGCUUUCAAGCUCAAGAAGAGCGAAAUUGCAUAUGUGAACGUCAACUUUAACUAGCUAGAAUCACUAGUAGGCGUCCACAAUAAUUCUUAAAAGGGAAUGGAGAAAAAUGAAGACAGAGCUCCGCUACUAAAUUUUUUUUUAUGCUCAUAAGUUUUGUCAUCAGGUUUUAGGCAUACCUUUAAUCAUUAGCAUACCGUAAAUUGAAAUCUAUGCACAAAAAGUAGAAAAUAUAGUGCUCUGUGCAGUCGAACAUAUAUAGCAGCAUGAGGUGGCCUGGUAUGGUUAAAUUUUCUGUGAGCUAAUUAUUACAGUUCAGGAGAAUUCAGAGGGAAGUGAGAGAGUGGAAGUUGAUGCUUAAUGACACCGAUACAAUGCGGAUAAUUAUGCACAUUGAACCUUGAACACGAGUCUUAAAGUAUCUGAGGUAAUGUUUCCUUUGCGGAUUUUAAUCUACUUCAAAAAAUUUCGAAGUGCGCAUUUUGUCCCAUGUUCGAUACCAUGGAAAUGUAAGAGUCUUCAAAUGAGUGCAGACAAGGCGGGAGCUUUGCCUUGUGAGAAUUUGAGUGGUUGCAUUCUUUACUCAAAGCAACGUGGAAUAUGACUUCAAUAUCUUUGGCGGCUUUACAUUACUUCUUCAAGGUCUAAAAACUGGGUUCCAAAAUUUCAUUUCUAUUUCAAGAGGCUAGAUGCUCAGUUUCAUUUCAUAUAUCAUCCCAUGCUUAGUUUGAUUCAAACGAGAUGGCAUGAGCUAGCCUGACCUUGUUGAAAUCACUUUUUAAUAAGUCCAUGGACGGAAAUAGACUCCUGUCUUAUUAUUCUGUGGGAUAUUUCUUGAUUCUUUUUUUGGUCUGAUAGUGUCCAUUUUUCGCAAUCAGCAGUCCAGGCCAAUUGUAAAAUUGCCUUCAUCUGUCUAUGAAUCAAUUACUUCUUCAAAGAUGUCUGUGCUACGGGGGCCCAUCUAAGCAUGCCUGCUUUUACCCUCUUGUGCUGGCCUUGGCCCAUCUAAGUUCUUUAUGUGAUAACUUAGUUAAUGUUCUCGUGAUUUUAUUUUUUCUUGAGAUGCUAGAACAGUAUCUUUUCAUGCCUAAAACCGCUGACGACAGUCACCAGGACUCCUCAUCGCUGGGAGCAGUAAACAAGAUUGAAUGAUUUUUUUCGGCUCAUCGAAGUUACACUGGUAUUUGUUCUCAUGCCUUUUUCGUCCUCUGCAGACGCUAAGGGAAAACAUCCAGCAAGAGUAUCGUGAAGUUGUUGAGAGGAGGGUCUUUACAGGUUCUUCCUAGUCUCGACCAUCAAGCAAAUAAUCCCACAACCACCAUCGCCAGAAAUCUCUUAAAUCCCUUUAGCUAAUGCUCUUAUUAUGUUUCGUCCUCUUGAUUUCCCAUAUGAACAGUGACGGGUAGUCGUCCUGAUGAGGAGGUGAGCGAUUGCUGGUUAAAAAUGUUAAAAUUUAGAUGCACCAUCACUGUUCCUUCGUUUUCUCUGUGGCUCAUCUUUCAUGUCGGGCAUGCAGACCAUCGAUCGUCUGAUUGAGACGGGGAACAGCGAACAGAUUUUUCAGAAAGCAAUUCAGGAGCAAGGACGAGGCCAGGUGCGUUGUUUUCCUUCGUCCUACUUCUCCCGUUUUGUUUUGCCAUUUAUUCAAUCCUCCCGUCUUCCAUCCGCGUGCAGGUAUUGGACACACUUGCAGAGAUUCAAGAGCGUCACGAUGCUGUGAGAGAGAUCGAGAGGAGGCUUCUCGAGCUGCAGCAGGUAUCUCUCUGUUCAUCCCAAAAGGCCAUAAUCUUGGAAGCUUGUGUCGAUAUGCUUCCAAGAAGCUUUCUUUUGAAAGCUACAGAUGAAUGGGUACCGCAUGGAGUGCCCCAUUUAUGGUACUACCCAGAGGCGAUUGUCUUUUUCUGUAGAUUUUCCUGGACAUGUCAGUGAUGGUGGAGGCCCAGGGCGACUUGCUGGACAACAUCGAGUCCCAGGUAGUCCAUGAGCUGAUGAACGGCGGCAUUUUAUUCCUCUGAUCCGUAGUUAUUUCGGGAAAACAGGAAAAAUCAGCUGUGCUGCAGUGUGGGCUUCACCUGAGGUUUCCCCCCUCUCUCUUCCCUCCCCGCAGGUUUCGAGCGCCGUGGAUCACGUGCAGUCGGGGACGACUGCGCUCCAGAAGGCGAAGAGGCUGCAGAAGAGCUCUCGGAAGUGGAUGUGCAUAGCGAUCAUCAUCCUCCUCAUAAUUGUCGCCAUCAUCGUCGUGGCGGUGGUCAAACCAUGGGCUAGCGGCAAAUAAAUUGGACUUUUGCGUCACCCCGUUAUUUCGCUUAGUCCAUUCAGUUUGCAGCGCCUUCUCUUCCCCCCUCCUCCCAUUCUCUCUCUCUCUCUCUCUCUCUCUCUCUCNNNNNNNNNNNNNNNNNNNNCUCUCUCUCUCUCUCUCUCUCUCUCUCUCUCUCGCUAGGGUGGUGUGCUUGGAGGGUGGGAGAGCUCUGGCUUUCUGUAUAUGCCAGACGGAUGUGGUGGGACUUGCUCGAAGGUUGUAAUUCGGAUCCUCUAUGAAUGAACAUGUGGUGAUUUUAUUUGCGUUAUGUCGUAGAAUGUGGGGCUCUCGAUGCUCUUCCUUCUGGGCUUCUGAUGCCCCUGCGGCGAUGCUACCAGCCAGCAAGAUCAUGGGCCCGCGCCGGAUGGGUCCCUGCGAUGAGCGAUGGUAAGUUCCUCGAGGGUCGUACGAAACUGGCCAAGCGACGAUCUGGGGAAGGAAGAAGAGGAAGAAGCUCCCUCAUUCAUGCGCCGUUCGCGUGUUCUUCCUGCUGUGCCCACGGCCGCAUUUUCCUCUGUCGAAUGCGGGCGUUAAAGGGUCUUAUAAUAAUACGAUUUUAAAAAUAUGCUUUUUAUGAUUUCGCCGCCCGCCCUUCCCCUCCGCUCGUUUGCACGCGGGCCUUUUUCCACGGGCACUGGUUCCUUGCGGCUUCUUGCUUCCUCUUCGGGGGGGGCCUGGGGGGAGUUGGGGAGGCGGGCUUUGUCCUCUUCCUAUUUAUAGCUAGCGACCAGGGACGCGGGUUUCACCGCCUAACCGUGAUAAGCGCCGGUACGCCUGCGCCUUGACCUCUCUGUGGGCGACUGCCCGGGCGAGUGCGAGUGGUGGCGUGAGCGACUGGGACAGAGCGGAGGAGUCUCCGUUGGAGUUGACUCGAUAGAUAGGAAGCGGAUAGCCGAGAGGUGGGGAGCGGGAGCAGGGGAAUAGAAGACGAUCCAAGCAUGCAGCCGCAGCCGCAGCAGCCACACCCCGCCAUGUCCGGCUCGGCGCCCUCCAACUAUCCUCUCGCCAGCAUCACCACCGAACAAAUCCAGAAGGUCUGUGUGGGGUUCGGACGGCUGGGCCCGUCGCGGUUCUCUUUGAUGCUACACGCUUCCUAGCUCCCUCUAUUAGUAGUUUUGAUUUCUGAUUUGCCUUCCUCACUGCACCUUGAUGAUUAUUUUCUUGGGACAAAAUUUACUCUUCUGAGGUUUCACUGGCGAGAGAACGCUUCCACGGUGCGAUAUCCCAAGAGUAACGAUGCUCUCUUCAGUUGCAUCAUCUACGAGCAUGUAUCCGGCAUUCUUUUAGAUAGAUAGCAUGGAAAGAGAAACAGUAGCAAAUCAUAAAACUGUGAAGGGCACGAGAACGUGAGGAGGGAUGAGUUUUUCUUGAUAGACUAUACCUCGUCGAUUUCAUUUUUUUUCUAGAACCUUGGGUUCAUGAGUAUAUGAUAACAUUAGUGUUCUUUAAAACUGAAUCAAUUGAAAAUUAAACGUCACAUCGAUUGUUUGAUAGUUUCCAAGAAUAUUUUGACUGCCCAUUUCCUGUUCAGUGCCAAAAUCCAUAUCUGUAGCUGUCUGCCUUCCAGGGAUCCUUUUGGAUUGUUUACACGUUUUUUAACAAGUGGAUGUAUCUCCCAAGCCACCUUAUUUCUCAGAUGCUCCUCUUCACUACUCAGGCUUGGAAUUGCUUGACUUACCAUCCCAUGAGUUUUGACGUUGGCUCAUUCAAUCUGGACAAUUAAGGCACGCUUUGAUGAUCCCCCCUUCAAUCUCACGUGAAAUGGAUGUAGACUGGAUAUUCAUCAUGUCUCCUGCUGCCAUAUUUGGAUACAGUCAAAGAUUUGGUGGCCUUCAUAUCGAGUUUGACCUUAGACGGCACAUACAUCUAAACUCCUAUAUGCAUUAAUAUGAUAGACUUGACAGAUUGUCAAAGGUUAUCACUAGAAAAACAAGGGUUUUUUUGAUAGCAGGAACUUUGCCUGCGAAAGAAGUGAUAGUAAAUGCUUAAAUGUCAAAAUGAUUAUUUGAAUUAAGAAAUUCACAAAUUUUCUAGUCUUCUUUCAUCAAACGGUCGCCUUUUUUUGUAGCCACGGUAAUGUAUAUACAGAGGCAUAUAGAUCGUCCUACAUAUACAGUGUAAUACCGCAUUAUAUUUAUAAUACAGAACAUUUCUUUUUUAUGCUAUUGAGAGAGGGGAAAGGGAUUACACCCCUUCAUUUUUUAAGUUUAUCAAAGAGUGCUUUAGACUACAUUGGAUGAUAAAAAUUUGUGAAAAGUGAGAGACGAGUGACUAUUUACUGAGAUGUCAAGAAUCAAGAGAGCAAUGCACUUCAUUUCCUCGUAAAACUUUUUCAUCUAGUAAAUGAAGUGUUGUCUUUCCUAGUUACCUUUAUUUUACUAUUUCCAUUUGAGUCGCUUGCUUUUUUGCAUAUAAUCUUUAUUUGAUGAAAUAUCUUGUAUUUUUUUUACUGAGCAUUCAACCCACCAAUUAACCUGCCAGAAAUAAAAGGACCAUCCAUUAACCCUUCCUUCUUCAAAAAAAUUGUUAGAUUCAUAUGUAUCUGAAUCGUGUGGCAUCCAAAAGUCAGAAAACCGCACUCUCAUUGGAUACAGAUUCCAGGUUUAGUGUGCUCAUGCUUGAGUUACUUUUCUGGGAUGCUGUUCUUCUACACUGUUUGUAUUCCGUCUUCACAUAUUUGGUUGUCCGUAAGAGAUGGGAAACUGAAUUGGAAGGGAAUUUUUAACAUAGUCCAAGCAAAAUAUGAAGGCACGAAUUAGAGUCAUGUAUUCUGGGAUUUAAGCCUUCUCAAGAGUGUCUUAUUAAGGUGAGAACAAUAGACGAACGUUAAGGUAAAAAAGAUGAUAAAGACCAUUAUUCAUGCAUGAUGCUUUUGCACGUUCUGUCAUUUUUCGGUAAAUAACAGUUUUUCUGCUUUCUAGAUUUUGUAUAAAAUCAAGGGUGAGAUUUGGCUGUGAGUGAGAAAGACCAAGGGGAGGUCAAACCAGUAUUGACUCCAUGGUCUAGUUGGAAGAGGCUCAAAACGAGGUCUUUCUUGUUCAGGAAGGUUUGGUUUUCCUAAUCCGGGUUACGGACGAUAAUAUCAUUUUCAGCAAAAAUAUGAUCUCUUAUGUGGUAAGAUUCGGACGCAUGAUGAACUUCUCUCAGGACCUGUCGAUCAAUGUUCAUUUUAUAGUGGGAAAGGCAACGAAAUAUCUUAUUACUGGGAACGAGUUCAAAAAUCCUUUCUGACUACGAUCUCACUUAAUGGCUUUUUAAGAAAGUGAUAUGACCACAUAUCAUUUGCUGACAGGGAGUGUGUAAAAUACGUAUCUGCUGUUGUUCACAAACGUUCGUCGUAAGUUAUCAGCUGUACAAUAUUCUCCCGAACGUAAAUGACUGCCACUGCAUUCAUUGAACAGUAAAUUUAUAGACCUUUGUUCAAUUUAUAGCUGAGAGAAGAUGAUGUUGAAGUAUAGAUAUAUGUUUGCAUGUUUGGUCUAGUUUUUUUUAUAUAGUUUUCUCCUUGUUUCUUCAUCAUACCUUGGGUCUUUUCUUUAUGUUUUCUUAUAUGUAUCCUGUCAUGCUUGGCUUGCUAACGAGCGUGUGUCUAUCCAUAUUUCUUCUUUAUGCAGUAUUUAGAUGAAAAUAAGCAGCUGAUUCUGGCAAUUUUGGAUAACCAGAACUUAGGAAAACUAUCUGAAUGCGCACAGUAAGUGACUACUAAAACUCCGUGCAUGGAUUGUGUGUUCGUAGCAUGGUUUUUGAAUUAUUCAUCAUCUACUGUUUGAAAAUCAUUCGUUGUUUCUAUUCUUAAUGCAAAUUCUAGUAAACGAUAUGUUUGGAGAAGACUAAGUGGAGAACAUGUACUUAAUUCAUGUAGAAGGAAAAUGUCCUGCAGAUGAUGAACUUAGUCCGAAGAAAUGAAUCCCUCACUUAUAAUUUAUGUGGAUCUUAUAGUCCAUUUCGAUUCCAUGAUUCGUUCUGAAUACCUUGCCAAAAGGGGUUCGUCCACUGAUGUUAAAAGCAAGUGUAUGGAAGAAAUUAGUUUGGGACAUUUUUAAUAUUUGCUUGUGAGGUGGGAUUGCUAAGAUGGGGAGCUAUGCAAAGAUACCUGUUGUCUUGGAUACUUGUUGCCUUUGUGUUCAGCACUGCUCCUCAAGGAGCAGCUUCCAGCUGCCUAAUGUGCGAGAAUGUGAUUACCAACCAGGGCAAAGUUAGCUAUGAUUUUGACAUAAAAACGUGUGGACAAAAAAAUGUCUUAGAGAUAAAUUGAUAAGGGCACCUUUGUGAAGGUCAGUUUGAUGCUCGACUAUGUGGAUUGGCUCAGUUGUCAUGCUACUGUUAGGUCAUGUGAUUUUUGGACGAAAGUCUGUGAUGAGAUGGUAUUCAUACCAAGACUGGUCGAUUCUGUUAAUGAUCGGAUGAAAAUCGCUAUGAUUUUCACAGUACCUGUGCGGGCUAAUUAACUCUCAGCUUGACACACUACAAAAGCAUUGUAGUGUGUCGCUGUCGACAUGACUCUAGUGAGGAUCUGAUAAACAUGCCCCAAUGCUGAAUGACGACAAAAUUUGAGAUCACCAAUGGAGGUCAAAGUGGAAACCCAAACAUGAUUCGGAUGCAAACGGACAACCUGAUUGGGAUGGGCAAGCAUAAGAUCAGCAUACUCUUAAAAAUGUUGUGCAUUAGAGCCUAAUGCAUGUUCAAGCAUCUCAGUAAGUGGUUCUGAUGCACGGCUUAAAACACUUUCUGUGGGUGUCAUCUCGACGCCAACAGGUACGGCUGGCUUUUCCGAAUGCUUGGGAGCACAACAUGAAUUUAAGUUAACGCUCCUGGAAUCAUUGCACAAUAUUUCCCUGACGAAGGAGGUCAUUUCUUUCUUAAUGAAAGAGGUCUUCGUUCAAAUGGUGCUGGGCAUUGCAUGCACGACCCUGCCAAUCUUAGGGCUGUAACUGGUAAUGCAUCACCGAGUUGUUCUGCAACUUUUUAAAAUAAUAUGGAUACGACUUUGUUAGUAUUGAUAGUGGGGCUUGCGUUGGCUUGAUCAUCUGUCAUGCGUGGAUCUGUCUAUUCUCAUUUGUGUUCGAUCAGAUCCUGUUUUGUUGAUUGUUUUUGGAUCAUUUCUACAAAAUUGAUGGAUUCGAAUCAGGGAUCAAGUUUUUUUGAAAUCCCUCGAUCUGUUUGUGAUGGGGAUCCAUGUGGCAUUGCAUGUUUCAAAGAUAUGGUGUGAAUCAAUGGACUGCAAGCACGUAAAAGGACUGGAAUGAGAAAGACGUAAUAGAAACUUGCUGAACUCGUCUAGAAUGGUUGAAAAUUUUUCGAUGACAAUGGGCUAUUCACCGAUGAUUACAGAGGAAUAUUUUUAUUCGAUCUCCACUGUCUAGAGUCAUCUGUUUAUCAUGUUUUGCGAUGUAUUUACACAGUAGAAGGGUUUAAUAUUUGAUAUGUGAUGUAUAUCAUUUUGAUGAUAUUUUUCUUUGCGUAUAUAUAUUUGGGUAUUGAUGUAAUGAGCACGGUGAAGAGAAAAAACAAAAAAAAAAAAUACACCCCUCGUUUUGAGGAAUCUAUGUCGACCACCAUAUAUAUCUUUCGUGCUCUCUCUUACCCAUCAUUGGUUUCAUCCAUUUAUUCUUUGUUCUUAUCAUACGGUGGAAUGGACUUGUGAUUUUUGACCGCGAUGGUGAAGGUACCAAGCCCAGCUUCAGAAGAAUCUCUUGUAUCUUGCGGCUAUCGCAGAUUCCCAGCCGCAGAUUCCGGCUGUGCGAGCUCAGGUCAGCUGCGUUUCUUUUAUCUGAUACUCCUCAUCUGUCGUUUAUGCGCAUUUAUCGCUCUUCAUUCACGCAGACGCUUCCUCAUCCGGGGAUGCAACAGGCGCAGGCGGGGGCUCUCUAUAUGCAGCAGCAGGCUGUCUUCUCUCCGAGGGCGUCGUCUGCCAUGCCCUUCAACCCGGCGCAUCAGAUGCACCAGCUGGCUCAGCCUCAGUUCCAUCGGCCGCCGCAGCUCGUUCCGAUGGAGACGAGGCAGGGGGUCGACAAUGGCGAGGCGAGUCUCGGUAUGAGCGGCGGUGGCUCUGCGCGGGCCUCGGCGGAGGAGCGUGGGGGCGGCGGCGGGGACAGGGAGCCGCCGCCGCCGUCGUCGCUGCAGAAGGUCUCGUAGGGUGAAGUACACGCGGUUGGUAGUACGAGACCUGUUACCGUCGUCGACCCGAUGAGGGCCGAGCAGCAGCCUAUUCGCCUGUUAUUACGUGAUUCUAUCCCCGUGCCUCGUUGCAUGUCCGAACGAAGAAGAUACGUGAUGAACGAGUGGAAGAACCAGCCGUGAUGAGCUCGAGCGGCGAGCUCGUCCUCGCAGCCUCCGGCUCUUUUGUAUCUCUGAUCUCGCCAAGCUUGCUCCUUUCUGGUCCAUCUAGUUUAUGAGCCCUCUCUCUCUCUCUCUCUNNNNNNNNNNNNNNNNNNNNUCUCUCUCUCUCUCUCUCUCUCUCUCUCUCUCCUUGGGCUAGUUGCGGGCCCACAUGAUCCGCUCCCUUCGCCACUCGGGCUAGCAAUUACGCCCGAGAUCAGUCGUCUCUGCAUCUGGGUGCAGACCCGGAGCUGAUAAGAAGCGAGGGAGUUGGCUCUACCGUGGUGGUCGUACCUGCUUGCGGGGUUUUCUUCGGGCGAGGAAGGGCGUAGCGGCGAGAAAUGCCGGCUGCGGCGGCGUCUGCCCUACUUUCUCGAGGCGGCAGCGGGGCAUUCGCCCUCUCCACCGUCCUUUCCCGGCGGAGGUCUCCGGCCCUCCCUGCCGCCGUCUUAUCCCCCUUCGCUCGCCCCCUGAGCGCCCUUCUCUUCCCCUCUCGCCCCUGCGGAAGGAGGGGCCUUCAGAUUCGCUGCAUGGCCUCGUCCCCUGAGGAGACUGCCUCCUCCUCUGCGGCCACUGUAUUGGCCGUCGAGGACGGCGGCGCCGCCGCUCCCCUGGCCGCCGACCCGGCGAGGGAAGCGGCUGGGUUGCUCGAUAUCCGGGUGGGCCGAGUGCUGCGGGCAUGGCGCCAUCCGGAGGCCGAGUCCCUCUUCGUGGAGGAGGUGGACGUGGGGGAGGCGGAGCCCCGGACCAUCUGCAGCGGCCUGGUGGGAUACGUUCCCUUGGAGGCCCUGCAGGAUGCGCGCGUCCUGGUGCUCGCCAACCUCAAGCCCCGCAACAUGCGCGGGAUCAAGUCCAACGGGAUGCUACUGGCCGCCUCCGACGAGGCGCACGAGAAGGUGGAGCUGCUGGUGGCCCAGGAGGGGACCGUCCCCGGCGAGAGAGUCUGGUUCGGCGCUGAGGAUGAGAAAGAUCGCCAGCCGGAGCCCGCGACGCCCAACCAGGUAGGUCUCUUCCGCAGAGGACAUGAGACGGCCGUUUCCUCUUUUGAUUUGUCCAUGAUGAUGAACCUGGAAGGAUAAUCUGCAAUCCAUGGCAACUCUAGAAUUAGACCAAGAGACUCCAGUCCAGUUCAUCGCGAUCCAUACUAUAUAUAUAGUAGUCUGCCGAAAAUCAAAUAGCUCUAUAAGCAGAUUGGGAUGAUCAAUCCAAUUGAUCCGGGCAGACCCAAUUUUUCUAUCCAGAACCUCUCCUUGUCUGACUUUAGCGAUAGGAUGUAGACCAGGGUCAGAGUCAGCCUCUUUUGAUCGACCCUCUCAUUUUUUUCUGCCUUUUGCAAUAUUUGAUCCCUACUCGCUACCUGUUAUUAUAGUCCUUUUGAGGGGGGGGGAAGGAAGAUAAAAAAAGAAUCUUGAAUCAUUACCAUCUAUACAACAAUAAGCUUGGCUCAUCAUCCGAUGAUCGUUCAACCUCAUGAAUCAUGGUGUCUGUCGAGCAUAAGAAUAACUGGGUUUUCAGAUAUGAUGAUGCCAUCCAAGGUCCCAUCAAUAUGGAAGAUUAUUACAAUAUCUCUCUCACCCAUUUCUGGGCAAUGCGAAAAGCUUUGGAAAAAGCCCAGCAUUGGAACACAUUAUACAUGGCCUGGUUCUUCGAUAUCAGAAUAAUGGCUUUAAAAAAUGAGUAUAUGCAGCGUCUCUUGGCACGAUUCAACUGGCUCUGCCCACAGAAAGUGAUAUUUUCCUUUGACCAGGAUGACUGUAGGAACUCUGGCAUGAUCUUCCCGCUCCCACGAGGAAAAAUUACUUCUUUGAUUAGUCUUGUGCAUCCUUCGGCUGGUUGGAGUAGUGGCAGGUUGCAGGCCAGAUGGCCAUGAAAAAAGCUGUCGAAUGCUUAGUGGUCAGUGUUUCAGCGCUGCUGGGAAGACACAGAGGUUGACUUUGAGGAACCUUUAUGAUUCCGCUGGUGUAGCUCCGCCGGCGGAACCAGUCAACGGUGAUGCCAUAGGUCACACUGGCUUCUCAGUCUUCCCAGCAUAGCCUUUCUUCCCUGGUAAUCGAUUAGCGCAGGCCAUAAGUGCCGAUCACACCGCAUGGAAUAAUUCUCGUGCCAUGCACGCUUGUUCUCAAUCAGAUGCGCUUGGAAAACUGAUUUCAUGCGGUGGAGCUCCAUGUACUGCGAUGGAAUCGAAUGUCAUACUAGGUGCCUGAAUCAGGAAGCUCAUGCUUCGAUUCUGAUCCGUAUCAGCUGGGAGGGCCGCGUUGUUCAAAGGCUGGAGCAUACAGCGUCAACAGACACGAAGAGAGUUCCUUCUUUGGUUUCCUUGUCCUUGAGCUUCAGGCCCUGCAAUUAUUUAUGUUCUUGUUAAUAUGUUCGUUCUCGUGUGGGUGACUCCAUGGGGAUGUGUGUAUCAGGUGCAGAAGAAGAAGAUAUGGGAAUCGGUGCAGCCGCAGCUCAGGACGAACGAGCAGCGCGUGGCCGUCCUGGGGGAGCUGCCUAUGCGGACGUCACGAGGCCCCGUAGCGUGCGCCUCCCUGAAGAACGCCAGGAUAUCCUGAUCAGCGUCCCCCGACAUUCGAUCUCUGUUUUUUAGAGAGAGAGAGAGAGAGAGACCAUGGGCGGGUCAACCAAGCUCGCAUGCUGAUACAAAAUCCGUCAUUUAUUGGACUCCCGUGAACCAGGAACAUGCGCGUACAUUCAGAAUAGUACACAACACGACUGCGGCGAUCAUGAGAGCGAAUCCUCUUGUUAUUUCGCGCUCCUAUUGCGCAUGAACUGGGAGAGGGAGCGAGGGGGAGAGGCGUGUAUUUUCAGGCUGUCAGAUCGAGUUCUCGGGGGGCUGCGGGUGGUAGGACCGCCGCCGGAGCUGUGAUUCCACUGUCGGCUGCUGCAAGAAGAUCUUCGACGGGUCGCUCGGAUCCACGUACCUGCGCCAACAGAGUCAAGUUUGUUACCAUUUUUAGUCGGGGGGUUGACCAGAGACACAAGAGCUCCUUCUUCGAGGGGGGCGGGGGGCGGCGGCGACACUUACGCAUGCCUCAUCAUGUCAGCAACUGGCGUCGCCGAGGCCUGGAGGGGAUCCACGCGAGGGGCGGCCGCAUCGGCCGCCUGCGCCGCCGCUGCAAACUGGCUGUACUGCCUGGCGGACGCGAUCAGGUUCAGGAAGAGUGGCACGAAGGUCCCACAGCCGCCCUCCUUGAACAGGAUCUUCACGGUGUGGGUGGAGUAGAGGACCCUGGGCUGGCCAUCAGGCACGACCUGAGACCAAGCAGUUGUGCCAACACCAGAACGGCAGCUUGUAAGCAUCGUUGAUGGCAGAAAGUCAACUCUCUCGCCAUGCUCCGACAGCGACUGAUCAAAAGAGUAUUCAUUAUAUACUCACAGGCUCCACAAAAGCAGAUAUGUUGUUGCAGAAGAAUAUUGGUUGGUUGAACUUCUCUCCAUGCACAUAGAGCUGCCAGAAGGGACGCUCUUGGGGAUCAGAUAGGGCUGCAGGCAGCCAGAAAGAAGAACCUAGCACGCCGAUAUUCGCCACAAGUAUUUUUUUUAUCCCAUUAUGGGAUCAAGAAUAAAGGAAAGUGAGGCUCAGAAACAUGAGUUCCGAAUGAGGGUUUCAGCAUCACUCUGCUGAAAGUUCUUUAUUUUAUUCAGAUCAAACUCAGUACCAACCACCCAUCCAGAAAGCAAAGCACCGGUCAAACAAAUGAUUCUGAAAUAAGGCCAUCAGAAAAAGAAAAAUCUGAUGCCUCGUGCCCUUGGACCACAAAACAGAUCAUAACACAAGGACAACUCGUGCUAAGGAAAUAACGACAGGAGCUCCUCCACAGACAAAGGGAACAAAUACUAUUUUUUUACCGGUCAAAUAUUAAAAUCAGUAAAGGCUACGCUUAAGGUGCCCAAACUGAAAACGUAAGAACCAAGAAAUGAAAUGAAUGUCCGAUUCUUCUAUUAUGUGAAGAUCUCAAAAGAAAAUUUAAGAUAAUAAUGAACUGACUGAGGACUGGAUUUAAUGCGUCGACUCAGUAACAUAAUUUGGUCAUCUUUACCUGCGAACAGGGGCCUGGUGGACUUCAUCAACGAAUAUCUAUGUUUUUGGAGCAGGGGAGGGGAGUCUAAAUAUACAAAUCUGAAAAACCAACUAUGGAGUACUUGAUGGUCUGUAACCUCACUGUCCUUAAAGAAGUUGCCACAUUUUCUCAAUUUAAAAGGUCUUAGCUUUAACGAACUUUCCCUGGCCACACUGCAAGAAAACUAGAAAUUGAUGAAUUGAAUGGGUCAGCGCAGAUGUGUCCUAGGUCGAUCAACUCCAUGUCAUUCAAUCCGGCGAAUAAUUUUUUUCCAGCAGAGCGAUACUAGUAAAUCUAUGUCUACAUUCAUCCCUAGAUAAUGUGCUGCUGCAUUCUUUCUAGAGACACAAGUUUAAUAGAACUUCUAUGGGUGCAAAGUUAGGAGCCUCACUGUACUUGGAUCCAUCAGCCUUGCUAGGGUUCUUACUGUCUAAACCCUUCCAAGAUAAUUUUCCCCGCAGUAAGAAUAUGCAUGGAACACUAGCAUCCAUAAAGAUACAAUUUCACGAUUUUGGACGUUGCAGGAUAAGAACAAAUGCAAAUCCCAAGUCCAUUUCACACAGCACAUGUGCAGUAAGGUUUUGUCUUAACACAGAAGAUAAAUUUGAUUUGUUAGACAUCAGCAAUCACAAGGGAUCAGUUCAUAACUAGAAAUGACUGCAGACAAAAUUAAUCCACCAAGUAAGCUAUAUUCAUACCAAGGGCAUAUCAAAAGCCACGAAUCCCCCAACAGGUUUGCCGGCAACGAACACCAUUCGUAUAUUUGACAAGAAGACUGUCCCUCUUGCUUUGACUUUCCCUCCAUGACCUCUACGAGGAGAAUAAACACGUAAUUGAGAAAAAUUAGGACAAAAUGUAUUGAGAACUCGAGAUAAAUUCGGGACUGCAUUCGCGAACGAAUCGAUUUCAUCUGGAAUGAGAAGUGGGGAACCCUCUUAUCAUCCUUGCAUGUUUGUAACACAUGCACAUCUAGACAGGAAAUUCGGUGGUUCUGCUAAUUUCCUCGUGGGCAAUCAUAAACAAGGUCGAGUCAUCGAGAAAUAUUGCGUCCAGGAAAGCCCUAAAACCUGCAAGGAAUAAAGUUUUUGGAGGGGGGCAGCGGGGUGAUCCUUACCCAUCCAGGGGAAUCUUAUCGACCUCGAACUCGACGCCUUCUCGGGCGAGAACGAAGAUCUCGUUGACGAAGGGCACGGGCAUCGGGGUGUGCGGCAGCAACUGCGGGUUUAACGCCAUUCGUUCCUCCUGCAGAUUCUUCUCCUCUCUUGGUCUUCUGCGUUCCUCUGCGCUCGUCCUCCCCCCGCAAGAAGAAUGGAGGGAGGCGACGGAAAACAGACGCGUAUAUAAACGCGUGGCUCGGAGAGGUGGGGCCUACAAGCGCCCGCCCGAUGGGGCCCAUUCAUCGAAGAGUCUAGCAACGCAAAUAAAUCGGGCAAAAGAAAGAAAAAUAGAAAAAAAAAUCAUUUUAUGACCGUGGACCUUAAAAAUGUCAAUGGCCCAUAGAGAUCUUCAAGAAAAUAAAUCAUUUUUUCUUCAAUAGAAAUGAAUGUGUGUAAUAUCAUAGUAACAUCCGCUCUAUGGCUUAUAAACUAAGUCAACCCUCAGCCCCCAGAAAUAACUCCAUUACACUCGAUUUUAUUUUUUGUCUUUAGAUUAUGACCCAUCUCACUCAUUUUAAAAACGGGUGUUUCAGUCUUUCAUUAAUGAUAGUUUAAUUUGCAUUCCAUGUUGGAAUCACUCUCCGGUGACUAAGAAAGCUCANNNNNNNNNNNNNNNNNNNNNNNNNNNNNNNNNNNNNNNNNNNNNNNNNNNNNNNNNNNNNNNNNNNNNNNNNNNNNNNNNNNNNNNNNNNNNNNNNNNNNNNNNNNNNNNNNNNNNNNNNNNNNNNNNNNNNNNNNNNNNNNNNNNNNNNNNNNNNNNNNNNNNNNNNNNNNNNNNNNNNNNNNNNNNNNNNNNNNNNNNNNNNNNNNNNNNNNNNNNNNNNNNNNNNNNNNNNNNNNNNNNNNNNNNNNNNNNNNNNNNNNNNNNNNNNNNNNNNNNNNNNNNNNNNNNNNNNNNNNNNNNNNNNNNNNNNNNNNNNNNNNNNNNNCCAUCAUUCGGAGGCGCAUGUUUAAUUUCCUUCUUGAAGAAUCGUUUAGAAAGCAUGCGAGAUGAAGCAGGGUCAGCCAAAGUCUUGCAGGCAACCUUAAAAAAAAUAAAAAAUAAAAAAAGGUUAUGGGGAUCACGUUUUAGGAUAUGCUCUCGAUUUUAUUUUCGUCGAAGCUUUUUCUAGCAUCUGAUGUUGGAGAAUUGGGAUCUUUUUUGGAGGAGGAGAUUCUUUUCAUAGUGGAGAAUGACAUUCUUGGAAGAGUUUCUGAGGAGGAGGAGGAGGAGGAAUCUGCUAAAUUUGCUUCAAGAAUCAAAGAGACUCGCAAAGAAAAAAAAAUAAAAAUCUUAUGAGGCACUAAAAUUGGUUCCACAGAACACUACGUUCAAAACUCAUGCUCUAAAGUUGCUGUCCCCAUUAAAAAAACACUUGCAGAAUCAUAUCACUAUCAAAGCUAAUGAAAAACUUGAAAAGAUGUUGAGUCUAAUCCUUCUGCUGAUGAGAAGGAAUUACUUGUAUUUAUUUAUGGACUUCUUGAAGAUGGCGAUGCUUGGGAAACAGAAAAAAUUGACAUCCAAACAUAUGAAUAGCAAUCAACAGAGCCCUGACGUUUCUAAAGAUAAGAUUCAUCCGAUUGGUAAUGAUAUUUACAGUUCUCACCUUAUUUCGGUGUUUGCCCUUGGAUUGCUGCAGAAUCGCUAGAAGAAUAUGAAACUGGACAAGAAAAAUGAAGAGCUGCUAUUCGAUGUUAGAUCCUUUUAUCAAACUGCUGGGAAAUUGCCCGAGGCCCAAGUAUGAAGAUAUUUUAUCUGCUGUUUUCAAAUGCCUUGUUCCAUUAACAACGAUACCUUUGCCAUCUCUUGAGCUUCAUGCUGAUAAAAUCAAGAUCUUGCUGCUCGAUAUCAUCCAAAGAUCAAGUAAUGCAACCAGUCCACUCAUGCAGCCGUGUUUAAAACUGCUCACUGUGAUCUUGCAAAUUACUACUGUUUCGCUUUCAAACGAUCAACUACAAAUGCUUGUCCCGUUUCCAUUUUUUUUUAAUUGAUAUCCAAGCCAGGCCUUCUCAUGUUGCCUUGUCCCUUUUAAAGGCGACUGUUGCACGAAAGUUGGUUGUCCAUGAAAUUUAUGAUUUUGUGGUGCAAAUUUCGGAGUUGAUGGUAAAAAACAAGUCAAGAAGGAUCCGAUUCGGAAAAAGUGUAGUCCAAUUCUUCUGCCGUUUUUGGUAGAUUAUUGUAUUUCCAGUAAACGUGGACAACAGCAUCUAGAUUUCUUAUUAGCAAACUUGAGGUGAAUGCCUUUAUUCUCCAAGGAAUGUUUCUUUUUUAAAAUAUACUAUAUUUUCAGUUAUGAGCAUUCAUCCCGAAGAGAAGCUGUGCCUGAAAUACUUUAUGAAAUUCUGGUUAAAUCGCCUCCAGCUGUUAUGGAAAACCAAGCUCAGUGGCACUGAUAAAAAUGCCCAUUCUAUGGCUGCCGCUGUUAUAAAACAUCUGCUUGGCCGCAGUGGCCAGAAAGCACUCCAUUCCAUUUUAGAUCACAGCCUAUAUUGGCACAAGUGAGAGAGAGAGAGAGAGAGAGAGAGAGAGAGAGAGAGAGAGAGAGAGAGAGAGAGAGCAUUGGUGGAGUGCUGCAGAACAGUUAAUUUGAGAAGAAUAAUGUACUUCAACCACACUAAUUCAUCCUACACAAAUGGAUAUAAAUUAACUUUGCCCUCAAGCCAUUUCUUCGGUUGAGACCAUUCUUCUCAAAUUGCUAAUGGUUUUAAAAGAAGAUUUUGUUUCCAUCAUUCAUGUUCUUCAUCAAUAUAUAGUUUUUUUUCUUCCUUUCCACUCCAUUUUGAAUGACCAAAUUUUACCCUCCACUUUCUGUUCCUUAAGCCUACUUUCUUCUUGUGGUCAUGACCAGUAAUUUCAUCAAUAGAUCAUUUAUUUCUUGUGUUAUAUGAACCAUUUAAACUCAUAUAAUCAGAGGAAGAAAAUUUUAGCAACACCAACAAGAAAAAAUGACUUGCAAGCAUCCACUCUGAGAGUGUUCUUUGUAGCAAUCUUCUCACUUGUUAUGUGCCUCUAUGCACAGCUCUAUUCGAUGGUGCCUCCACUGAAACCCUGUUCCUAUUUAUCAACAGAUCCCAUAUUCUAUCCACCUUGAAAGUUUGCAAAUGAAAAACUCGUCUAUAAUUUCUUUAAAUAGAACGCUUCAAAAAAAAAUCUUGAUCAUAUGGGCAACUGAGGCGGCUUCGUCCGGGAAGACAUGGAAGAAGACGCUGUGCCGUUCUUCUCCGGACGAGCGAGCAUCAGUUGGCGGAUCGAGCGUCAUGGAAGAUCGUUCCAUCAACAGCACUCGAGGAAUGGAGGCGGUUCAGUGCACGAAGACGCGGAGAACUGCGAGCCCAGUGCAGGAGGACCGUCGAAAGAAUUCCGCAGAGUCGAAGCAAGUCAACUGUGGGAUGCCCGGCAGAUGUUCUUCGCACCAAGAACAGGAACAUUCAAUUUGAAGAUUAUUGAUGUGGGCUAACCAGGGGAUGGAUCCAUCGACUGUAGCCUGUUACUGGGUCGAUCUGUUCGACGACGAUGGCCCAGCCCAUCGGUAACCUGCCGGCCUUUUUGUCCUGGCCGACGGGGGAUAUGGUGCUUUUCAGAGCCCGGCCCUUGCCGGCUGCGCGGCGAUGGCGGCGGCGACGCGGUGGCGCUUCUCCGGCGCUGUGCCGUAUCGCAUGGUGAAGCGGGCGACUUUGGUGAACGCAAGGAUCAAGUGGGUCAAGGACCGUGGGCUGGACGCCGUCGUCUCCCGCGAGCGCCACCUUCGCCCCGCCGUCGACCUCGUCCACGCCAUCUACGCCUCCGCCACCGGCGGUGGCGGUUGCGGCCGCGAGGGCGUCCCAGUCCACGAGAUCCCCUCCCGGCGCCGCCUGGGCCUCCCCGCCACCGUCCCCUCCACCGCCGCCUUCAUGCGCCGCCACCCCGCGGUCUUCCACGAGUCCCGCCCGUCGCCUUCAUCUUCCUCCCCGUCCUCCGCCCGCCCCUUCCGCUGGUUCGGGCUCACCCCGGAGGCCGCAGCGCUGCGCCGCGAGGAGGCGGCGGUGAUGAGGGAGAUGGAGGUGGAGCUUGUCAACCGGUUGAGGAAGCUGCUCAUGCUCGCCGCCGCCGGCGCCCUCCCCCUGCCGAUGGUCGACCAGCUCCGCUGGGACCUGGGUCUUCCCCUCGAUUACAGGGACUCGAUUCUCCCUCGUUACCCACAGUUCUUCCGCAUCGAGCCCGCCUCUUCCGGGAAGGCAGGCAGCGGCGCUGCCGACGAGCGCCACUGGCUGCGCCUCCUCUUCCGGGAUCCCCGUAUGGCCGUCUCCCGCCUCCAGAUGGACGCCGGCGGGGAGAACGAGGAGGGCCCACUGGCCUUCCAGUUGAGCUUCACGCGCGGGUUCGGGCUCAAGAAGAAGUGGGUGGCGUGGCUCGAGGAGUGGCAGCGGCUGCCCUACACCUCCCCCUACGAUCACGCCGCCAUAGCCAUGCUGGAUCCGAGGACUGACGCGGCGGAGAAGAGGAUGGUGGCGCUGUUCCACGAGCUGCUUCACCUGAUGGUAGGGAAAAAGACGGAGAGGGCCAACCUGAGCAACCUGGGGAGGCCGCUGGGGCUGCCGUACAGGUUCUCCAAGGUCUUCGGCCGCCACCCGGGGGUGUUCUACCUGUCCCAGAAGCUGGCGACGCAGACGGUAGUGCUCCGGGAGGGCUACGCUGGCGCAGAGCUCCUGGAGAAGCACCCCCUGGUGGAGAUCAGAGAGAGUUAUGCGGCCCUAAUGAGGGUGGGCAGGGAAGACGAGACGGACGGCGGCGCCGCCGAAUUCGCCGGUGAGGCGGAGCUGAAUGAUCCGAGCUCCAGUCCCGAUGACGACGGAACUUGUGGCGAAGAAUCCGAGGAAUGCGACCUUUUGGGGGGGAUAACACAGGCUGAGUAGAGCUUGUGGAGACGACGAACUCUUCCGGUGCCAUCUCUGAGAAGAAGCGGCCGUCUUCUCUUCGAUUCAUGGUUCCUGGUUCUGAACAUCUCGGGCCUGUUAGUGGGACGCCCCGCCCACAGGGACCCUCUCUGUGACCCAGAUCCGCGAUUCUGCGAGCGGUGGGCGCAUCUGGGGAGGGCGUUCAUGGAGAUGGUCCCCGUGACUGGUACUGUAAUUGUAAAUGCCCUGUUUCUCCCCAGUGGAUUCUUCUUGCUGAUUAAUCUCGAGAGGGGGGGGGGAGGGGCGGGGGAGUAAAACAAUUACUGGGUCUUGCUGAAUCUGGUCUCUCAUUCGUAGAUUUUUCCAAGGAUCGGUCUCACCGGCGACUUCUCGAGAUGAUCGGUCACACCGGCGACUUCGCAAGAAUCUGCCCUAAUUCCAUGCCUGCGACUUCGCGAGAGGAUCUACCCUAAUUCCAGGGUUCUCGAAUCGUAGGAUCUGAGAGCCUGAGAGGGAGGGGGGGGAGGAGCGUCGUUCGCCGGAGCUCCCCCUCUUCGGAGGGCGGGGAGCUGGGCAGUCGUCGUCGUUCUCGACAUCAGCGAGGUGAUGAGAGAGAGAGAGAGAGAGGGCGGCAUUGAAGACGGGACGGUGGCCACUCGCUUCCGCUAGCAUCGUAUUCAUGACAUUUACUCUCACCAGCUUUUCUUCAGAUGGGCAGUGAAGAGAUCGACUCCUGAGCCUCUUCCUCACCUAACAACUGCACGGCAGCCUCUGUGCUCUCUCUCUCUCUCCCUCUCCCUCUCUGGCCACACCUCGGUCCUCUUCCUCUCUGUGCGCGAAACCCGAAUACAGUGCGGAGGAGAGGAUGACGACGGGCUCGCCGUUCUGUCCGCGGCGCCGAGGGGAAAGUAUCUUCUCCGCCUCCGCUUUCGCGCUGUACUUGUGUGCUCUGCUUCCCAUCGGCUCCCUGGCCGACGCGAACGCCUCCGUCUCCGCCUGUGAGCACUCCUCCUCCUCCUCCUCCUCAGUCGGCCUGGGCGUCCAUGAUCUAUGCAUUCUCCGUCAUCGGGGGCGUAUGGGGAUUGACCCUCCUUCCCAAGAAGGGGAUGAGAAUCCAGGUCCAGCAUGAGGGUUCCUGCUGGCAGGAUCCUCCCACCCUGCGACUUGCUGCUUCUGCCCUAAUUGCAACCCUGAAGUGAGCGAGAUGGCGUCGCGCUCGCCUGGUUCCUCCAUCUUCCCCAGACUCAUUCCUCGGGGAAAAAUUUCCCCACUCCUCCCGAGAGGCUCAACUCGCGGAGGCCUCCUCUCUCUCUCUCUCUCCCACCACGAGCCUCAUCAGAGCAGCACAUUGCCCUCCGCCCGCGCCCACUUCCCUCCCCGUCCCAGCGAGANNNNNNNNNNNNNNNNNNNNUCCUCUCUCUCUCUCUCUCUCCCACCACGAGCCUCAUCAGAGCAGCACAUUGCCUCCGCCCGCGCCCACUUCCUCCCCGUCCCAGCGAGACAUCAGCUCUGGAUUCUCCCAAUUCCCUCUGAUGGAGUUUUUUCUCUGCGAGCCCUAGAAACCAGAAGAGACGUGCCUCAAAAUGUGCUGCCAACAUGAUCCAUCCACCUUCUCUGGGCAUCUCUUCCAGGAUCCCAACGAGUGAAAAGCUUGUCAUCUCUGGGUUUUUCGGGGUAUGAAGAGACAGUGGCUGAAAGCAGAGCCUCCUGGUUCCCCCAUGGAAGGAGCUUCCUUCCUGUGGAGUGGGAUCGCACGAACGUCUCUGCUUUCUUCUGCAUCCCAUCGAGGUCCUUCGCUAAUUGCCUGCCGCAUCCUGUUUCUUGGUUUCUGACAGCACUCUGCCCCGAUGGCUGGAAGGUCGCCCCGGACAAGAACAGGUGCUUCAUUCGCAUGGCGAGUUCCCUCCCUUGGAGCGACUCCGAAGGGCUCUGCCGGCAGUUCGGCGGUCACCUGGCAGCCCUGGCCUCUGCUGCGGACCUCAGCUUCGCCCAGGGCCUCUGCGCGGAGGAUAAGAAUGGCUGCUGGGUCGGGGGCCGAUCGAACAAUUCUAAAUCUGGCUUUGGCUGGAAGUGGUCCGACGAUGCGUCUUUCUGGAACGAGUCGAUCUCCCCGGGAGAGCCAUCUCAGCUCAGCUGCCCCAAGGGCCCCCCCUGCCCCAGAGCCAACGAGAGCAGUUCCUGCACGCUAGUCGCCCGAGGGAAUGCCGCACUUGUAGGCGAACAGUGCAACGCUUCUCGCGCUUCUAUCUGCAUGGUUGGCAGAGGUAGCCCCCCACCCCCGCCCCCGCCUCUGCAAGUUUCUUCUCAUGUUCAGUGAUCUGAGUUGCUCCCGUUUUGCGCCCCCCAGAGGGCAGGUGCUACCACAAUCACUGCCACCGGGAGUACCUCGUCGUCCUCGCCGUGGUGAGCGGGCUCAUCCUGUCCACCACCCUGGCGGUGGUGGUCUGGCUCCUCGUCUACCGGCGGAACAAGCGGCGCAGGAGGUCUCGGAAGGUGUCCAGCCCUUCGACGGCGGCGCUAGUCCCCCCGUCCUGGAAGGUCUUCACGAGCGAGGAGGUGAGGUCGAUGACGAAGAAUUUCAGCGAAGGGAACCGCCUCGUGGGGGAUGCGAAGACCGGAGGGACGUACAGCGGGCUCCUCCCUGACGGGUCGAGGGUGGCUGUCAAGAGGCUCAGAAAAUCCAGGCUUCAGAGGAAAAAGGAGUUCUUCUCUGAGGUUGCAAGGGUCGUGAAGCUUCACCAUCCUAAUCUGAUCGCCGUGAAAGGCUGCUGCUAUGAUCAUGGCGAUCGCUACAUUAUCUACGAGUUCGUCUCCAAUGGGCCCCUGGAUAGAUGGCUGCACCACGUACCCAGAGGCGGAAGGAGCUUGGAUUGGGCGAUGAGGAUGAGGGUUGCAACAACCCUGGCUCAAGGGAUCGCGUAAGUAUAAGAUUACCAUUAACGUGCCUUCCUUUUUGCCCAUCCCUCUCGUACUGUCGCUAUUUUAUUUUAUUUUUUUCUAUCCAUUCUGGGCAACUCUAAGAACUGCAGGAGUAGACAGACAGUUAUGACGCGCCCAGAUCGCCUCCUGGGGUACUCCUCUUGUUUGACUUUUUGUCGUAGAUUGUGGGUAUUCUUACAGAGAGAGAAAGUGUUCCUGCGGUGCAUCUUGAUUUCUCCGUGGUCGAAGGGGUGAGUAGGAAGGAUGCCAAGUCAACGCAUCGGUGAGCAGAAGCACCGAGAGGAAGACAGGGAUCUAUUAUUCCUUAACUCCUCAUUAUGAUAAUCCAAGUCCCCGCCGGGAGGAAGGAUCGGUCAACGAGAAAGCAGAAUUUGUCAGAAAUCAGUGUGCUGAAAUGGCCCUUUGAAGGAAAUUUCUAAGAAAGCAGUCAACCAAAGAGGAAACUUUGGGAGAAAACAGGGAGUCAACUCUGUAAAAGGAUGGCUGAUUAAUUGAAAGGGGACAGCAGCCCCUCAGGGGGAUACUUCCACCGGUCUGCAUUAGGAGGCAAUGCAUGCGAAUCAUGUUCUGCAUCAUAUUUUUAGGGUUUCUGGUCUUUGCCCAGUACUUGUAGGUUCCUUGUUGCCUGCCAUCUCUCUGGAUAUACUCAGCCUGUGCACGAAUGGAGGCGAUGGCUUCCUCAGACGACUGUGUAUUUACCUUCUCUGAUGCUGAUGGGGGCGGCGCAGGUUCCUGCACGACAAGGUGAAGCCGCAGGUGGUGCACCGCGACAUCCGCGCGAGCAACGUGCUGCUGGACGAGGAGUUCGGGGCGCAUCUGAUGGGAGUGGGGCUCUCCAAAUUCGUCUACUGGGAGGUGAUGCACGAGAGGACCAAGGUGGCGGGGUCCUGCGGGUACCUCGCCCCCGAGUUCGUCUACCGGAACGAGCUCACCACGAAGAGCGAUGUGUACAGCUUCGGGGUGCUGCUGCUGGAGAUUGUGAGCGGGCGGCGGCCGGCGCAGGCCGUGGAGCCGGCGCAGGCGGUGGAGCCCGUCGGCUGGCAGAGCAUCUUCGAGUGGGCGACGCCGCUGGUGCAGGCUCACCGGUACCUGGAGCUGCUGGACCCGCUCAUCCAGGACGCCCCCGACGUCGGCACGGUGCAGAAGGUGAUCGACCUCGUCUACGCCUGCACGCAGCAUGUGCCGUCGGUCAGGCCAAGGAUGUCCCACGUCGUCCACCAGCUGCAGCAGCUGGGGCUGAGGACGGCCGCCGAGCACUCCCGGAGCGGCUCCAGCUCAAGGACUGCUUCCCCCUCCCUGUGGCCCUCCAAGAGCAGCACCAGCGCCGGCACUAGCCUGAACAUGAUGGGCGCUUCUUCCACCGCCGGCGCCGCCUCCUCGAUGCUGCCGCUCGAAGUGGUCAUGGGCCCCUGAGUGCACCCUCAUUGCUCGGGCUGGCUUAAAAACCUGUUGAUUGGAGACAUCUCUGUAGAGGAAGCUUGCUCAUCUCACUGAGGCUGAUCGCCCAAAGCCUUCAGAUCAUGAGGCCAACCAAGGAUAAGAUGAUUUUAUAGAUUCUUCCAGCGUUCAAAGAAUGUGCAUCUUUCUUUACAUACACAAAUCAUAGCGUAAACUCUACAGACGACGAAACAAAAAAAGAAAAACAAAAAAAAAACUUUACAGACGACGAGGUGGGUGACAGCCUUCAUUGGAUGAUGCCGGCCGCCCACGCUCAAGUGGGUACUUGCGGACGCUGCCCCUGGAUAUGAGACAGGAUUUCAGGGAUCACCACCUACGACAGUUUCAAGAAAGCUGCAAACGGGUGCCGCGCUUACCAUCUCCAGCUUCUCUCUGAACAGGGCAUGGACUUCUCUCCGUAGGGCUUCUAGGUCCACGGCGAACUCUCUCUCCUUAUCCGACGCCAUCAGGCCCUUGAGCUGCUCCUCCAUCCUCUCCAGGGCUUCGUCGAGCCCGCAGGGGUCCUUGAAAACCAGAGCUUCGGUAUAGGGAAGACGCAGAAGACUCCCAACCGCCAUCAAGGCCUGCAGGGAGACGGGGUGCCAGAGGGCCAAGAUGUUUCAGCCAUUGCAGGAUGGAGAGAGAUCUGAAAAAAAAGUGGGACCCACCUUCUCCUGGAGAUCGGCAUCGGAUGACGACAGAAGGUUGAUCACUGAUUUCAAGAAGAUGUGGCUUCGGAAUAAUGGGAGCUCCGAAGGGACUUCAUUCUCUAGUUGGCUGUCUGCCAAGUCAGUGACCAUCUGAACAGCUUUCUUUUGAAGCCUGAUAUCAACCGUAGAAUUUCUCAUUAUAUCCUGCAAAAACAUAGCAUUAUGAGUUGUCAUGUUGCUGAAACAUUUUUUUAUCCCAACAACGGAAAUUCAUCAUUUAACAUUCAGGUUGAUUCACCUGAAGCAGGGCACAUCCAUCCUCCGCAUAGAACAAAGCCUGGCCAAUAUUGUUGUUCCUAAUCAGAGCUGAAAUCGCAUAUAAUGCCUUCAGGGAUUCCUCAACGUAGCUUGACUGCACCAUUUUCAUUAGCACGUUCAGUGCUCCAAGAGAAAGAACCUGCAGAAAUUUUGAUUCAAAGUUCAAUAAAACUCCAUGUGAGGGAGGUUGCCAUAGCAAAGAAGCAAAUUUCAACGAAAACUUCUAGGGAAUUAAAUACCAGUUUUUAAAUUAUAUGACAGUAAAAAAUAAACACAAUAAAAAGAAAUAAGCAUUCACAACAAAUGGGACACAAAAACUUGAUCUUUCAAUUAAGAGAGGGUUUCAUCAACCAACCCAUGAGUGGCUUACAAUUGAAUAGUCGUUAGGAAGCAUACCAGCCAGGCUGAACAACUGGCUGUUCAAUAAUCUUUAUAAUAGGCUAUAGUGCUACGUAUACAAGUUUAUAUAGUCAUAAGGUCGGCGAGUAUUCCCUAUCAAGCUAAUACUGAUUCAAUGGCGACAGACCAAAAAUGAACCUCGCUACUGUAACCUCUUUUAUAGUGUCUUUGGUUUGAGUUUUCAAGAUGGGCUCAAACAAGAUAUAUAACGAGUUAUAUUCAGAUCUAAUGCUCCUAGUUUGCCUUAGUAAUCAUUCUAUGCUCCUUAGAAACGCUUCAGCAGGAGAAAAGCAUACGUACAAUGAUAGACUCAUCCAAAGUGAGAGAUAGUCAGGUGAAAUUCAAAUUUACAGAAAAAUCAAAAUUACAGAUGUCGCAUAUUUUUCGAAAAUAUACCUGGUUUUGAACAAGUGGAUUGUUCUGACUAGCUUUCCCAAGAACCCACGCAGAGGUUGUCCGUAUCUCAGGCACAGAAUUAUUGAGUUCUCGGAUAACAGCAAAAAGGCCACCAAGUUUGUUUAGAUCUGAGAUAUUUCAACCCAAAAAUUUCAUGCUUUUAGUUCAUUGCACUCAAGUGUCUGGUGACAAAAAAUGGCAAGCCAAGAAACCAUAGCAAGCAUACAGUGGCAUUCGUAAGACACAUGGGAGGCUCAAUAAAGGGCGGCAUGUUGUUAUUCCAGAUAGUCUGGCCAAUUAAAUAGUGCUGGAAAGAACACUACAGUUUGUUUGUCAAAAAUGUUUAUGUGAUCUAAUGAAUAUCAUCCAAGUAAUCCCAACUCUGAUUCAAUCACUCAUAAUUUGCUAGUCCCUGUUAACACCUGUUAACAUCCGAAUCGGCUUUUUUCAACUUUGAAUGAAUUUGAAUAUCUUUGUCAAAUACUCCAUAAUACUACAUUAGUCCCCUCCCAAGUCACACAAAAAUUGUCCAAAAGUUAUCAUAAUUGAGAAUAAAAUCGCUUCCUCCACGAUUCCUUAUUUUAUUCCUGUUGGGGACUGCUGAAAAAUUGUUUUUUCAUUAUGUUUUACCUGUCCUCUUAGUUCAGGUCAUGUUGUAAGCCGGUCCGGUCUAGUUCUGUCCGGCCCCAUUCACCUUUUCCCUUUUUCUCGUAUCAGUGGGUUAGUAUACAUACUGACCCUCCUGUAAUCUUUCGAAGUGAAUCGAAUUAAGAUUUCUAACCCCGUUUAUUUUCCACCCAAGAGUCUUGUGUGGUGCCUAGAAUUACAUCAGGCUAAAGAAGAAGGUUGGAGCAGGAUGUCCUUCUGUGUAUUCUAACACGGCAUCAAAGUCAGGUUUGAUCCUUCUUGAGGGGUUUUUUUUUCUUCCACAUUUUUUUUUUACCUUCUCUUGUUCCUCAAGCAGCCCUCAGUCUGAAACUAGUUCGUUUAACUUCUUGAGAGUCUCUAUAACUGAUUCGCUUGAACCUUUCAAUUGACAGUGGGUUCUAUACAGUACAUGGGAGAAUCACAUGUCUGUGCUACUUGCUGUUUGAAGGUCAGAUUUACGGCAAGCUUUUUGCCUUUCUUAAAGUUAGUGGACAUGAGCUCUUUGUUCUUAAAAUGUCUGAGAGUAUCUCAACCACGGAGUCCUCUAGGGUUGUAAAAAUAGAGUCAAGACACACCUAAGGAGACUUGCUUGCUUUACCACAGUCAGACCACUUUGAUGGAAAGAAUUACUUCGGAUGGUCUCCAUAGGUGAAGGUUAUCCUCAAGGGGAGGGGACUGGCGAGUCACCCAAGUAAAUUGAGCCCUAAGGCUGAAGACCUAGAGUUUGAGACUUGGGAUCAGAGAGACUCACGAAUCAUGACAUAGUUGUGGACUACCAUGAUUCUUGAGAUUCGCCGAACAUGCCUAUAUCUGUCCACAACUAGAGAUAUUUGGAAAAAUCUGCACCAAUUAUAUUUACAGUCAAGAGAUGGUACACAAAUCUAUGGACUGAAAUUAAAGAUAAUGACAUUGAGGCAAGGUUAAAAUCUAUGACAAAAUAUGCACAGGAAGUCAGAACACUUCGACAAGAGUUUGACCAGUAUAAAAUUACAGAUAUGAGAGAUCCUAUUGAUUUUGCCCUUAUAUAAAGAAGAAGUAGAACGUGGCAAAAUCUGUGAAUACCUUUAUAAGUCUGAAUUCUAAAUAUGACCAAGUUAGAAUUCAAAUUCCAGGUAGGGAAAAAUUACCUCCCUUGCAUAAAGACAUUUUGUUAAUUAGAGGGGAAGAAACUCGCCGAAAUCUUAUGUUAGGUCGUCAAAAUAUGGACAGUUCUGCAUUUGUCACUAUAGGUAAAAAAAAAAUCACCGUCUGGGCAAAAAAAAACACCUAGUGGUGAUUUUAGAGACAACUUAUGGUGUACAUUUUGUAGAAAACCGAGACAUCAUUAACAGGGGUUAUAAGUUGCAUUAUAAACCUCAAAAUCAGAAAGUACAGAAAAAAGAAGGUGAUCAUGCUCACAUUACUAUUACACACCAAGGGGAAAUGAUACAUCAGCUUGAGGACAAUCAGCUGUGGAAGAAGGACCAUAAGCCUCAUGCUCACUACCUUGUUCAAGUAAGUUUUCAAUUUUUCUAGUUAAGUGCCUCAAAUAAGUGUAAACCUCUACGCUAGAUAAUUGAUUCAGGUCCCACAGAACACAUAUCUUAUGCCUCUCAUUUAUUUUCCACACAUUCACCUUGCCUAAGUGAUAGAAAAAUCACUACAGCAAUUCGGACUUUAGUUAAAGUUGCUGUCAUAGGAAUCAUACACCUUUCACCUUACACUACCCUUAAGGAUGUUCUCCAUGUACCCAUGUUAACCACCAACCUUAUUUCAGUAAGCAAACUUAUACGAGAUUCAGGGAAUGUCACACUUGACCCUAACACUUGUCUAUUUUUUGGCAAGCUAUCUGGGACAAUAGAGUGAACUCUACCACCUUGAACCUUCCAGCCAAUUAAAUGUAACGGUAGGCAGGAGUCAUCUGUCCAAAAAUCCUAGCAAGUCAAAUGUUCAAAAAAUAUGACUUCAACAUAGAAGAUUGGGGCACCCAUCUGUUAUGGUGUUAAAGACAUUGUUUCCAUUUUUAUUUCAUAACUUGAAUGUGUUUAUUCAGGUUUGAAGUGUAUGAACUUGCGAAAUAUCAAAGAACUUUUUUUGCUGAAAGCAAAAUGAAAUGUUUUAUUCCAUUUUUCUGCAUUCACAAUGACAUAUGGGGGCCUACAUCCACACCCGGCACGAGUAGGGCUAGGUGGUUGUCACCUUCAUUGAUGAAUGUACAAAGAUGACAUGGGUUUCUUUACUUAAAAAUAAAUCUGAUGUUAGCAUUGCUCUUAUGCAAUUCUAUACUUUAAUUAAAAAUCAGUUUGACACAAUUACCAAAGGAUUCAAAUUUGAUACUGUUAGAGAUUAUUUCAAUCAAACUUUGACUACCUUAUUUCAAAAAGAGAGAAUUUUACAUGAGUCAUCAUGUGUGUAUACACUCCAACAAAAUGGUGUGGCUGAACGUAAAAAUGGUCAUCUACUAUGAAUGACAAAAGCACUUCUCAUCCAAAAUAAGGUGCCCAAAUUUUUUUGAGGGGAAUGCAUCUUUAUGGCUAUUCAUCUCAUAAAUUAUCUACUUGCCAAAUCUAUAAACAUGAAAACUCCCAAGACAUAUUAUCCUUCUUUUGUCCUCAUAUUCCAUUGAAAACAAAUCUUGUACCAAAAAUAUUUAGAUGUGUGGCCUUUGUCCACGUUCAUGAGCAACAUGGGGAUAAAUUAUACCCUAGAUCCUUGAAAUGUAUCUUCAUAGGACACUCCUAAACUCAAAAAGGAUACUAUUGCUAUCAUCCUACCACAAAAUUUUUUAUCUCCAAGGAUGUCACUUUUGAUAAGAAUGAAGCCUUCUAUGAUGUAUCUAGCAAUAAGGAGAGAAGAAUCAAGCCACUAAGGGUGAAUAAAUCCAGUUUUUAAUUCUUUUCUUUGAGUCUCUCCCGAGCCCUUCAUUAGAAUCUAAUGUUCAAUCAACCCCCGAACCUAUUCUAGAUGAAGCACUUGAAAAAGGAAAGUUUGGCCAUGUGUAUUCAAGGAGAAAAGAAUAAAUUCCAGAAAUUGGGCAUGUUCAAGAAUCCUUCAGAGAAGGGUCAAAUGAAGCUCCACUUGAUGUUGAAAAUCUACCCAUAGCUCUUAGAAAGGAGUUAGAACCUACACAAAAAACCCAUAUAACCUAUGUCCCUUUUCUAGUCUUAUGAUUGAUUGUCAUCAUCACACAAAGCCCUUGUUUCACAAUUGUAUACCUCUACCAUUCCAAAUGCAAUUGUUGAGGCCUUAACUAACGAAAAUUGGAAGCAAGCAAUGAAUGAGAAAAUGGAAGCCUUGAAAUGAAAUGAUACAUGAGAAUUAGUGAGACUUCAAAUGGGAAAGAAAGCUGUAGGGUGCAAAGGGGUCCACACCAUUAAACAUCGACCUGAUGGUUCCAUUGAAAGAUACAAGACUUGACCGGUGGCCAAAAGGUAUAAACAGACCUAUUGCAGUAAACUACCUUGAAGCAUUUUCUCUAGUAGCGAAGAUAAAUACAAUCAGGAUACUAUUGACACUUGUUGUUAAUAUUGGUUGGGAUCUAUAACAAUUUGAUGUUGAAAAUAUAUUUUUACAUGGAGAACUUGAGGAGGAGAUCUAUAUGGAAGCACCACCAGGUUACAAAAAGAAUUUGGGCGUGGACAGGGUAUGUAAGUUGAAAAAGGCCCUAUAUAGGCUAAAACAAUUGCCUCAGGCUAACAACUAUGCUCAAAAUGGGAUACAAAAAAAGUCAAUGUGAUCAUACUUUGUUUGUGAAACAUUCUUUUGCAAGGGGAAUUAGGAUCCUCAUAGUAUAUGUGGUUGUUAUCAUUGUAAUAGGAGAUGAUGAAUUAGAAAAGAAAUCUCUUGGUCAAAACAUCACCAAAGAGUUUGACAUAAAGACAUUAGGAAGACUAAAGUAUUUUCUUGGAAUCGAGGUGGCACACUACAAAAAAUUAGCGAGUGGACUGGUUUUGAUUUACUGCAGGAAACUGGAAAAUCAGCAUACAAAUCAGCAACCUCUCUUAUUGACCUGAAUCUGAAACUUGGUACAGCUGAAGAAGAUAUUCUAAUUGAGAAGGGCAUGUAUCAGCGGCUAGUGGGCAAGUUGAUUUACCUUUCCCAUACGCAUCUUGACUUAGCUUUUGCAGUCAAUCUAACCAGCCAAAUUAUGCACAGUUCAAAGCAGAUUCACUUACAUGAAGUGGACUGUGUCUUACAAUAUCUUAAAGGGCCACUUAGAAAAGGAAUUUUAUUCAAGAAAAAUGAUUAAUUAACCCUUGAAUUCUAUACUGAUGCAUACUAAGCAGGGUCAAUUAUUGAUCAAAGAUCAACAUAUGUCAAGUACAUAGGUUGAAUUUCAUGCGAUAGCACAAGGCAUAUGUGAAGUAUAAUAAGUAAAUAUUAUAUUGAGAGAUUUGAAGAUUAAUGCAACUUCUUCGUGACAAUAAAUCAGCUAUUAGCAUUGCCCACAAUCUGGUUCAGCCUGAUAGAACCAAGUAUAUAGAAAUUGACAAGCAUUUCAUAAAGGAGAAAUUAGAGAGUAGACUGAUUUGUACAUCAUAUGUAUCUUCCACUGAUCAACUUGUAGCAUCUUCACCAAGUGGCUACAAGCAAAGGCAUCUUGUUAUCUCAGUUGCAAGCUAGGAAUGGAUGACAUACAUUCCCCAGCUUGAGGAGGAGUGUUGAAGAAGUUUUCUAUUCUUUACUUCUACUGUAUUUCUAUUUUUUUCAUUACGUUUUACCUAUCUUCUUAGUUCAAGUCAUGUUGUAAACUGGUCCGGUCUAAUUCUGUCUGUGGCUUGGUUCAUCUUUUCCCUCUCUCUCAUAUCAGCGGGUUAGUAUUAAUACUGACCCUCGUGUAACCCUUUGAAGUGAAUCGAAUUAGGAUUUUUAACCCUGUUUCUUUUCCACCCUAGAGUUCUGUGUGGUCCCUGGGAUUGCAGCAGGUUAGAGAAGGAGAAGAUUGGAGCCAGACGUCCUUCUGUGUAUUCUGGUAGUGACAAGGCAUAACAAAUGAAAAGCUUGACAAAAUAGAAAAAACCAUAACCUUAUCAAACUGCAAUACUUAUAGCUCAAUUGUGUAUUCGUGGUUGAAAGUCAAGUGAUCAAGGGCUACAUUCUAAUUGGCCAACUAAUAUGGGCCUAUGUCAGCUAUCAUUGCACAGCCUUUCCUAUAAACCAGUCAACAGCAGGAAUGGAGGGAGAAAAGACGAGAACGCAGGAAGAAAAGAAGAGGAUACAUAUAUAAAACAGUUGUAAUGGGACAAACCAUUUGCAUUAUCAAUUGGCUCAACAAGUAUCAGAAGUUCAUUCAAUGCACGUUGGCGAUCCUCCAAAGAAGUAGUAGACUUAUUCAAGUCGAUAAUAGCUGUUCUCAUCAAGUCUGCAUCUGACGGCAUCUUCAACUUUUCCAUCAAUUCCUGGAUUGUAACACAGGGAGGGAGUUAAAGGAUUAUUCUGACAUCAUUCACAUCAGCCAGGGUUCAUACACAAAUUGUCAAUCUAGAAUCACGAUUGAUACUUCUUCUGGGAGCAAAGGGCCUCAAGGAGCUACAGACAAUGAUGGUCUCUGCUCUGAACCAAAGAACACAAGCAUUGAGGAAUAUCCAGGACUUAGCAAAAAAAAGACCACGUUAUUCAUUCAAAUCCUUUCUUGAGAAUAGACAUCAUCAGUGAGAACAAAAAAAUAUCAAAAAUCCUCAUUUCUUCAGCACGUCUCCCCAAGUUGAUUGCCCAGAAGAUUGAUCGAAACAGAAGGCAAGGGAGCAGACAAGGUUACAUAUUUCCUGAACCAGACUUAUUUCUUUAGAUUCAUUUAAAGAGCAUAAUGUUGAUGCAAUUUUAAAAAAGAAGGCUAACAAAAAAAUUUCCGGAAAAAAAAGGGUGUCAUCGUGAAACUAUGCAUAGUAGUGCACGCAAGUGAAGAUCAGACAUUUAAAGUAACUGCAGUCCAUGCCUAACUUAAAUUAAAUAUCAGCAAAAUCAUUCUGUAUUUUGGAAGGACCAACCUUCUGUUCAAACUUCCAAAUGAUGAAUAUAGCUAGCUCAGAAAAGAAACGAAUCACCACAUUGAAAUUAUAGCAUCUUGCUAAUCUUCUCCCAGAUCCAGUUUUCCAAAAUAACCAAUAUAUGUCGAAACGAAAUGGGCCAUCUCGGUUACAAGCAUCUGGUUUAACAGAUACUCCCAGAAUUACAUUUUUCUUAUUUUAUUAAAAUUUUUAGAUAGAUAACACUAGAAUAUUGGAACAUAAUUAUACAAAGUAAUGUCCUAUUGACGAAAGUUCUUGGCUUAACUGGGUUAGCCUUUGCUUGGAUCUCUGAAAAAUGGAAUAUGAUAUUCAUCAAUACUAAUCCAUUCCAUAACUUUGAACAUGACGUGUCUUGAGGAUCAUAAAUCUCUCACAUUGAAAAUGUUGACUUACCCUGAUAUCUGAGAAUUUCCCAUAGCAAUUAAGUUUAUGCAGCUUAGCAUUUCAGACGGGAAAAAAAAUUCGUGUGAAUCAUGAAGAUUGUUUACAGAAUCAAGUGGGCACCAAUAAUUUCCAAAUUAUUAAAAUAAAUCCAUAACCACCUUUUAGGGUUCUUGCCAUUAAAAAAAAUCAGAGAGUUACACCUCUGGCAUUGCUUCUCACCAACCCUUAAGAACCCCAAUUUCGACAGCAUAUUUGAGGAAAAAGAUUCAGAGAACAUAAUAGUAGGACUCGCAGCCAGAUGCCUAGCAUAAAAAAGUCUCAUACACAAAGUGUAUGUUAAUAGGCCAACAAUAUCUAGUUUUAGCAAUCAAUAUGAAUACCCAUUUCCAUGGAACAAAACCAUGAGAAGCGUGAAAUAUUUUGUCUCAGCUAGCUCAAAAAUGAUGAAAAAAGUAAACGAUUAUCUUAUCUACCUUGAUUUGUAACUGUCUUGCCUUUAACUCAUCUUCGGACAUACGCUGAACAUCAUUUGCCUUCUCCUUUAACUUUACGGGAUCUGAGUUACCUGAUUCACGAACAAUAAAAUGAUGGUCGCAAAUCAAAAUGCAUCACUUUCUGAUUGGAUUUCUUCAGUUCACUUGAAAGUACAAGAUAAUCAAUAACAUUAAGAGAAAAUCUUACAUGCAUGUUAGAGAGUGCUAGGCUACUACGAAUUUAUAGAUAGAAAAACAAUUCCCAGUUAUGCAGCUACCAGAUCCAACUCAAUAAACAUCAUCAAUUAAUUCCAAUGCAAAUACAUUGUAUUUUUUGCUUCACCGCAUGGAAGAACAUUUCCCAGCCGCACCUCCGCUCGAAGAAUAGGAGUGAAUCGCAUAAACAUUUCAGCAAAGCGUUAAACAAAACAAGGCACUGAUCGAAAAACAUUCCCCAGAAACUCUGCUUGACAUUCAAAUAUGAAAUUCUCGAUUUCAUUCAACAAAACAAGCACUGGUCGAAAAAUAACUACAACACUACAAGGCAAAGGAUGUAUACUUGAAUUAUUUUUGUUAUAGUUAUUGGACAAUCCAAAAGAUCAACAAACAAUGAUUGGGACCCAAUUUAUAAAAAUAAGUUUACUUUAUAAAAACUACCUGGAGACUAAUACUAAAAAUUUUAAAAUGAUUCUUACCGUUUUGAGCUCAUAUUUUCAAGAUAGUUAAGUGUUUCCAUAACCCAAAGUUAAGGUCACAUUUUAAAAAGUUGAAAAUAUUUUAGAAGAAUCAACAUGUUCUUUCUUUCCCAAAAUAGAAAGGAAACAUAGGAAAAAUCCAUGAAUUUUUAAACCCCACAUAUACGCUCUUACAAGCACCUACAAGGAGGCGUGUGUAGUCCCUAACAUGCGGAGCAAUUUUCAGGGGGUUGAAAAUGUUCUGAAGACGCAAGCAUCCACUUUAGGCCCGCAAAUGCAAUUGAUUUCAAAUAGAACAGGGAUGGUUCACUUGAACUUACUUUACAGAGAAAUAAUUUGACACAAAAUAUGCUUUAUAGAGAAUUUAAAUGUUAUUUUUCAAGUCAUAGGCUAGCCUUGAGCUCGAACAUGCUUUUUAGAUCGUCGUUUUCAAGCUUUGCAUUAAAGUAAAAUGUUCAAAACCUUAAGAACCAUGCCUGUUAAGCGUCACACAUGAACACGGAAUAAAUCCGGACUCUGAUUGAAGCGAGACGGUGAAGUGAAACAUCGUCAUUGAACCUACCGAUUGCCCACUGCAGCAUUCCGUCCAAGGAUGAGAAGGCGCCGUCGACGUCAUCCUCGCCGAUCGCGUUGGAAUCCUGGUUGGUGUCAUCACCGACGAGCUCUGUCGGUGCCGUGGGCACAGACCAGAGGGCCUCGGUUUUGCCAUCGGCCGUGGCCCAGAGGAUUUCCCCCCAGGACGUCGUAUUCUCUCUGUCCCUCGCCGCAACAGUCCCGCGGAGAAAACCCACAGUCGAGGCAAGCAGCAGCAGCAGGAUGUGACACCGAGGAGCUCCAACCAUGAUCGUCUCCUGCUCUUGAAUAUGAGAGAGAGAGAGAGAGAGAGAGAGAGAGAGAGAGAGAGAGAGAGAGANNNNNNNNNNNNNNNNNNNNNNNNNNNNNNNNNNNNNNNNNNNNNNNNNNNNNNNNNNNNNNNNNNNNNNNNNNNNNNNNNNNNNNNNNNNNNNNNNNNNNNNNNNNNNNNNNNNNNNNNNNNNNNNNNNNNNNNNNNNNNNNNNNNNNNNNNNNNNNNNNNNNNNNNNNNNNNNNNNNNNNNNNNNNNNNNNNNNNNNNNNNNNNNNNNNNNNNNNNNNNNNNNNNNNNNNNNNNNNNNNNNNNNNNNNNNNNNNNNNNNNNNNNNNNNNNNNNNNNNNNNNNNNNNNNNNNNNNNNNNNNNNNNNNNNNNNNNNNNNNNNNNNNNNNNNNNNNNNNNNNNNNNNNNNNNNNNNNNNNNNNNNNNNNNNNNNNNNNNNNNNNNNNNNNNNNNNNNNNNNNNNNNNNNNNNNNNNNNNNNNNNNNNNNNNNNNNNNNNNNNNNNNNNNNNNNNNNNNNNNNNNNNNNNNNNNNNNNNNNNNNNNNNNNNNNNNNNNNNNNNNNNNNNNNNNNNNNNNNNNNNNNNNNNNNNNNNNNNNNNNNNNNNNNNNNNNNNNNNNNNNNNNNNNNNNNNNNNNNNNNNNNNNNNNNNNNNNNNNNNNNNNNNNNNNNNNNNNNNNNNNNNNNNNNNNNNNNNNNNNNNNNNNNNNNNNNNNNNNNNNNNNNNNNNNNNNNNNNNNNNNNNNNNNNNNNNNNNNNNNNNNNNNNNNNNNNNNNNNNNNNNNNNNNNNNNNNNNNNNNNNNNNNNNNNNNNNNNNNNNNNNNNNNNNNNNNNNNNNNNNNNNNNNNNNNNNNNNNNNNNNNNNNNNNNNNNNNNNNNNNNNNNNNNNNNNNNNNNNNNNNNNNNNNNNNNNNNNNNNNNNNNNNNNNNNNNNNNNNNNNNNNNNNNNNNNNNNNNNNNNNNNNNNNNNNNNNNNNNNNNNNNNNNNNNNNNNNNNNNNNNNNNNNNNNNNNNNNNNNNNNNNNNNNNNNNNNNNNNNNNNNNNNNNNNNNNNNNNNNNNNNNNNNNNNNNNNNNNNNNNNNNNNNNNNNNNNNNNNNNNNNNNNNNNNNNNNNNNNNNNNNNNNNNNNNNNNNNNNNNNNNNNNNNNNNNNNNNNNNNNNNNNNNNNNNNNNNNNNNNNNNNNNNNNNNNNNNNNNNNNNNNNNNNNNNNNNNNNNNNNNNNNNNNNNNNNNNNNNNNNNNNNNNNNNNNNNNNNNNNNNNNNNNNNNNNNNNNAGAGUCAGGCGAAGUCGAAGUGGUCAGCGGGGGGGAGGGUGCCGUUCUUGAGGCAGAACUGGCGGAGGCGGUGGAGGCGGCGGGGGGUGACCUGCCAGAAGAUGUUGAACAUGUCGGGCCAGCAGUGGGGGUGCAGCCGGUUCACGCCGUCGCAGGUGUUGCUCGUCGGCACCGUCCCGUUCACCAGGAAGUCGCGCAUCUCGCGCACCGCCUUCCCCCGCGCCAGGUACCCCCAGCACCGGAACACCUUGUGCGAGUCCUCCGCCGGCUCCGGCAUGUAGUAUGGCUGGUUCCGCGGGUCCGGCGCCGCCGUCCAUGUGUACACCGGCGGCGACGAUAUGUUGUAGUCCCUCGGCGCCACAAUCUCCCCCAACGCCCCCGCCGCCACCGUCGCCAGCACCACCACCGCCACUGCCGCCACCACCGUCGCUGACGCCGCCAUCUCCCCCCCACUACAAUCCUCUCUCCUCUUUGCCCCAAGGAAGCUCUCCUCUUCUCCGCUGCUGGUGGUGCCCAGGGGAUGGGCGGGGGAGGAACUUAUGGGGAGAGAGAAAGAGAACAGCCGAGGGCGGUUCUGUAGAGUUAGAGAGAGUGAGAGAAACGCCCGAGAAGCUGACAUCCGUUGUCUGGGUUGGAGGAGGACGAAGGGACCUCCGCUUUGAAGUAACGGUCAAAUAAUAUUUGAAGUGGAUUGAUUCAUUAUAUAUAGUCCCGAGGGCGGUGGGAGUACACUUUCAUAGGCCACGAUGUACGCAGGAGAGGGGAGGGGGGUGACGGGGAAGAGGGCUCCGACUCUCGGUACAAAAAUAGCAAAUUCGAAACACGAGGAAGGAUUGCGGGUGGGGGCGUUGACCGAUCACUUCCAGUUGUUGGCGACGAUGUCGGCGAGGUCGACGACCCUCUGGGAGUAGCCCCACUCGUUGUCGUACCAGGCGAUGACCUUGACCAUGUCGUCGCCCAUGACCAUGGUCAGAGAGGAGUCCACGGUGGAGGAGACGUCGCUGCAGCGGAAGUCGACGGAGACGAGGGGCUCGUCGCAGACGGAGAGGAUGCCGUUGAGCUCCUUCUCCGCGCUCUCCCUGAAGGCGGCGUUCACCUCCUCCGCGAAGGUCUUCUUGGAGACCUGGACGACGAGGUCGACGACGGAGACGUUGGGAGUGGGCACGCGGAGGGCGAUCCCGUUGAGCUUGCCCUUGAGCGACGGCAGGACGAGCGCCACCGCCUUCGCGGCGCCGGUGGAGGUGGGGACGAUGUUAAGGGCGGCGGCCCUCGCACGCCGGAGGUCGCGGUGGCUAGCGUCGAGCAGCCUCUGGUCGCCGGUGUAGGAGUGGGUGGUGGUCAUGGUGCCCUUGAUGAUGCCUGC
rnacentral:lncRNA from 1 species